rnacentral:lncRNA from 1 species
AAAACGUUAAGGUCACGAAAGCUUUUAUUGUAUCUUCCUAAGGAUUGUUAAUUAGUCACAAGACUUUCAACCGUCACCGAUGCUGUCAGUUUCACUUGCCAUUAUAAUAUCUCUAUUUUAAACAUUUUAUUAUUAUUUUCCGUGAAUCAAAUUUCAUAACAUUUUCUCUAUUAUUAUUAUAAAUAAAUAUGUGGAAUGCUUUACUUUCUUUAUAUUUUACUUUCAUUAUAUUUUACUUUAAUUAACAUUAUGCUUUUGGUGUAAUUUGGAUCAGCGUAGAUGUUAACUUUUUUUGAUAAUAUUAUUAUACUAAUAACUGUGAAAUGAAAAUAGAAAAUCAUCAUUAAAAAAAUAAUAUUAAAAAGAGUGUAUAUAAACAUUAAAUAAAUGUCUAUGAUAAUUUGACUAAAAAAAAUGUCUAAAUGAUAAAAAUAAAAAAUAUAUUUAUAUUAAAAAUAAAAUUUUAAAAUUUUAAAUGCAUUUUUAUUAAAAAAAUUAAAAUUAUUUGAUAAUAACUUUUUUUUUAACCAACUGAUACUAUUAUUGAUUUGAAGAAGUAAUAAAUGUGGUUACCAGUCUCAAAAGAAGGAAAUAAAAACUGUCAAAAUAUAAUUGGACACCAAAACGGUGCCUUGAGAAAGCAAAAAUAAACACAAUUAAAAACUAUUCCAGAAGCUUGUAAAGUAAAAUGAAUUGGCAGAAAUGAAACUUAGCUCUGGUAACCCUUCUUCUCCCUCAUUUAAACCAAAACCCCCUUGUAUCAGCCAUUGAAGAGACCCAUUCCCUCCCAGAAUCAAAUCUUUCUAGAGCCACAGUCUCUGACAAAAUCUCGAGUUCAUCGGGCAAUCAAAAUCACUGAGCCCGGACUCUACCUCUUCAUCUAUCCUCCAUAACCAUCGUUUCGUCUCUCUUGAUUCACCAGGUUUUCCACUGCAGGCGGUACCUUCUCUAUCCAGUAUCGAGGGUGCUAAAAUCGGAUUCCUUCCUUUGCCAUCUCAUGAGUAGCGUUGUUGGCUUCCCUAGGUACGUGCUUGAAACACAAUCUCCUAAACUUGAAAACUCUCCCCUUGAUUUCUUUAAUCAAACUGCUAAUACACGAUCGAUCUUCUUCUGCAGAGUUCAGUUUUCGUAUAAUAGUAAGCGCAUCUCCUUCAACACAAACAUCCUAAAAACCCAGCUCUUCUGCCAUUACAAUAGCUUGUAAACAUGCCCGUGCCUCAUCCAUUAAUGGAUCUAAAAUAUUAUCCCAUGGAAAGUUACAGGCUGCCAUAGGCAAACACUCUUUAUCUCGUGCAAUGAUACCUGAAAUAGAGCUUCUUGUGAUUCGGUUAAAUGAGGCGUCGAAAUUAAUUUUGAUGGUGUCAUUAUCCGGCGGUUGCCAGACUGAGUCUUUAAUUUCAUGUGUAUUUUGUAAUAUCUCCCCCAUACUAGAAAUUUCUGCAUAGUAAGCCUUGACAAAUCCAACAACUUCAUGUACCUGCUCUCUGACUCCUUCAUGAUAUAGAUUGUUGCGAUUAUACCAGAUGGCCCAGUAAGCGAUAGAUUUAAUGUUGCAUGCUUCCAGACUCGUAUUUUCAAAAUCCGCUACUAACCAUGUUUUCCAAUUGGCUUGUCUGUUGCAUGUUGAAAAUGGCAUCUCCAAACCCCGCAAAACCUGCUGUGUGAAGGGACACUCCCUAAAAAGAUGGUACACCGACUCCUCCUCAGAUCUGCAUACCGGACAUAAAGGAUUGACAGCCAAUUGGCGAGCUUUUAGAUUAUGCAAAGUGGGUAAAUAGUUGUUAGCAAUUCUCCACAUAAAAAUACGAAUUUUGCUUGGCACCUGGAGCUCCCAUAAUUUUGUAAAAAAAUUAGCAGGAAGUUCAUUAUGUAUUCUAGUACCCCCCCUCUGUAAUUAGCCAUCUGUAUCCGCUCUUAACUGUAUAUGUCCCAGUAUUAUCCCCUCGCCAUACCAAUGCAUCCUGUGGUCUACUGUUUGCCAAUGGAAUUGUGAGAAUGCGCUUCAACUGUUCCUCUUCGAAUAAUGAUUGAAUAAUGUCUGGCUUCCAGGUAUUAUUUUCCUUAUUAAUUAAGUCCGAGACUUGAGUAACUCGUAAACCCAUAUUCUGACAUCUGAUUCUACCACUGCCAAGUCUUGGAAGCCAACUGUCGUUCCAUAUAUUGACUGAUUCCCCAUUACCGAUUCGCCACCCCAUCCCCUCCUCAAGCAGUUGUCUGGCUCCCCAAAUACUACGCCAGGUAUAGGAAGGGUAAGAACCUACCCCAGCACUAAUAAAAUCUCCUUUCGGGAAAUACUUAGCUUUCAUAACACGUGCAAACAAACCAUCUGAUUUCGUGAUAAUUUUCCAACCCUGCUUCGCUAACAAAGCCAAAUUAAAUUUUGACAGAUCUUUAAAACUUAAACCUCCCUUCGCUUUGGGGAUGCACAUUUCACUCCAUUUACACCAAUGAAUACCUUAUUAGUUUUACUAUUCCGCCACCAAAAUUUGCACAUUAAAUUCUCGAGCUCUCGACAAAAUGAAACUGGUAGCUUAAAGCAUUGCAUAAGUUGGAAUCGCUUGUAAAAUAGAUUUUAAAAAUACCUCUUUUCCCCCAGCUGAUAAAAAGCGCAUACUCCAAUUAUUCAAUAAUUUGACACAUCGUUCUUUAAUAGCCACAAAAGCAUGCUUCUUCCUACGUCCUACCAUAGUUGGCAACCCCAAAUACCGUUCUGGAUUGUUAGAUAUCCGAAAAUCCUUCCCACCUGUGCUUGUGUUUCCAAAUCCACGUUGCCACUGAAGUAGAUAAGAGAUUUGUCAAAGUUAACCAACUGUCCCGAGAUCUUCUCAUACUCCUGAAUCACACCUUUCAUAUUAAUUGCCCCUUCAGUUGAAGCCUCACCAAACAGCACACUAUCAUUCGCAAAAAAAAAAAAUGUGACACUGAUAUGUUUCCUCUUCCCACUCUUGUCCCAGAUAGCCUUCCAUCCAAUUUGGCUAGUGCAAUUAAUCUGGAAAAACCUUCCGCACAAGUGAGAAACAAAUAAGGACUUAAUGGAUCGCCUUGUCUUAGCCCUCGUUGAGGUCUGAAUUCUUCUCCCUCCCUACCAUUUAUCACCACUGUAUAUGUUACGCUAGUAAUACAUCUCAUAAUAAGCGAGAUUCAGCCUUCACAAACACCCAUACUGCGCAUCAUUUUUUCUAAAAAAACCCAUUCAAUUCUAUCAUAUGCUUUACUCAUAUCAAGUUUUAGAGCAAAGUUUUUCUUCGUUGUUCCUCUCUUUCUUUUGAAUGAAUGCAAAAUUUCGUAUGCCACGAAAAUGUUGUCUGUGAUUUUCCUUUCCGAUACAAACGCCCUUUGUGUGUCUUCAAUGCAUAAGUCCAGCACUGUAAACAAGUACCUUUGAGAUAAUUUUGUAGAUCACCUUGCAAAAACUAAUGGGGCGAAACUUAGUCAUUGACUUUGGUGACUUCUCUUUGGGAAUAAGAACAAUGCUUGUUUAAUUUAUCUCUUCUACGCUUCUUCGUCCAUUGAGAACAUCCAAACAAUAUGUAGUCACAUCCUCCCCUAUUAUAUGCCAGUACUUUUGAUAGAAUAUUGCCGGAUACCCAUCCUUCCCUGAUGCCUUGAGGGGUGCUAUAGAUUUUAUCGCCUCAACAACUUCUUUUACUUUAAAUAUUGUGAUUAGCAUACUGUUAUGUUCCUUCGUAAUGCAUGGCAAAAAGGACUCAAACACUGUAUCACAAUUACUUACCUCUGUAGAUGAGAACAACUCGUUGAAAUACUCGGUAGCCAAAUUAGUGACUCCCUCCAUAUUGGUAAUAAAAUUCCCCGCUUCAUUUUCUAACCCCGCAAUUAGAUUUUUUCUUUUUCGUUGUGUCGCACUCUUAUGAAAGAAUGUCGUAUUUCUAUCCCCCAUACGAAGCCAAUUAACUCUUGCUCUUUGUUCCCAGAACAGUUCCUCCUUAUCCGCUUCAAAAUUCAACUCUAAUUUAAUGUUUGUAAUUUCCUCCAACACUUUAUCACUAAUUUCGCCUGCUCCUAAUUUGCUCAACCUAUCAUUUAGUUCUUUCGUUCGUCGUUCGGUCUGCGUUUUCUCCUGUUUUACCCAAUUACUCAAAGUUAACCCCAAGUUCUUUAGUUUCUCCAACACAUCCAGAUUAUUUGAGUUCCACUCCCAUUUUAAUCGCUCCUCAAAUCCUGCCUCCAGAAUCUAGUCUGCAUUAAAUCGAAAAUGACCUUGUUGUCUCCUUCCUCGCAAUCCCUCCUCCCUACCGGUUUCUACCAUGAUUGGACAAUGAUCUGAAAAAUUGUGUUGCAAAUGACAGACUUUAUACCCUGGGAAAAGAUCCCACCAUUCUGAGUUAGCUACCCCUAUCAAGUUUCUCCCUAAUAUUGUUGUCAAGCAGACGAGCUCUUUCCCAAGUGUAUCAUUGUCCCGAAAACCCCAAAUCGUAUAACUCACAGUAUUCAAUUGCCUCCCUGAAUGAAGCCAUCUGUCUUUCCUCCCGAAUUCUUCCCCAUUUCUUUUUAAAAGAAAAAAAAAAUUCGUUAAAAUCUCUGGUAACUAGCCAGGGCUUGUUAUUUUUGCUUUUCAAAAAUCUUAGUAAGUCCCAUGAUUCUCUUCUUUCUUGCUCCACUGGCGCUCCAUAAAAUCUUGUAAACCUCCAUGUAUCUAACUCAUCUUCAUUCGCCACCUCCACAUCAAUGUAAGAUUUUGAAAAGCUUUUCAAAGUUAAAUUCAAACCCUCUUUCCAUCCUAAUGACAAUCCUCCUCUCGUGCCAAUUGCAUCUAUGUCGAUUCCAUUCAAAAAGCCACAUUGCCUUUUUAUUGCCUCCAUUCGUUUGCUCGAAACCUUUGUUUCCAUAAGAAACAAAAUUUGGGGUCGAAUAUAUCUCAAUUUGUUUUUGAGACGUCGAACUGUCCGUGGUUGCCCCAACCCACGAACAUUCCAGCUAAGAAUUUUCAUUGUGCCCGGUCAGCCACCUUAUGAGUGGCCGCCGAUAUAUCGUUCUCCAAACCCUCUUUCGAUAGUUUCCUAAAAUCCCUAGAGAUUCCCCUUUCUACAUUAAUCCUUUGCCAUUUUUUACCAUCCACGAUUUCCAUUAACAUGUCUUCUGAAUCCUCUUCUACCCCCUUACCUCCAACUGGAUCGUAAUAACUUGGCUCCUUGUGUUCAGAUUUUUCCUAAGCUAUCGUGUGAAACAUCCCCAGGGGCCCACUUCCUCUUUCUCCUCAUUAUUAUUUGUAGCCUCCCCUCCAGCUUUCCUUACGCUUCUUUCCCUAUCUAUUUUCAUGUCCUGCCAUUUAUCUGUAUCUGACUCCUCUCUAAUCCACUUGCUCACUACUUGUCUUCCUCGUCUUAGCGCAGCACGUAAUGUCAAAUCCCAUCCAAAUUCCAUAUGCUGAUUCCCCAUUCUUAAUCUGACCUUGCAAUAAUUUUCACCAUGACCCAGUCGGCCACAAAUAAAACAAAAAGUGACAACCUUUCAUACUGGAAUAAAACAUAAAUGAAUCUAUUCUGCCCAAUGCCUAUGCGCUUCUUCCUUUUAAGUGGUAAACGAACAUCAAUUAUAGACCUAAUUCUCAUGAAUUUACUAACCCCUCUUGUCAUCAAUGAUGAAUCAUAUUCCACAAAUUUACCAACAAAAUCUCCAAUUUGACGUGCCGUUUCCUCUUAUGUGUAACCCAUAGGUAAAUUGUGUACCUGAACCCAAAAGAUCGUAUGCCAAAAGGGAACUGAAUUAGGGUCUUCACCCCUUACUAAUUUGUGAAAGAUAAUAAGAUGGCGAUUAAAAAACCAUGGUAGACUAUCCAGGACUCAAUUCAAAUCAAUUUCACUGUAAAAUCUGAAUAAAAUCCUCUCAUCCUCCAUCUCAGUAAUGGUCACCCCUCUCAACGGGUGCCAUAAAUCGGCUAAAGUAUUUUUUAAUGCAGGAAAAUUCACAAUACUAUCAGUAAGAACUCUCCCUACCAGGCACAGUUUAUACAAAUGUUCCACAGCAGUAUCUUCUCCCAAAACCAGCAUGGGAUCUUCCUCUUCACCCAUAAUAUUGAGAUUAGCAAGAUCUGUAUCCGCCAGAUCAAUAUUAUCCAUGUCAUACCUCAAGGCGGCAGCAAGAUCCAAACCCUAAAGAAUACUAUUCAUGCUAGAAAACAGACCAAAGAAAAAACCCUAAUUCGUGCUACAAGGCAGACUCUAGUUCUCAAUUUUAUUUGAUAAUAACUUAAAAUUAAAAGUAAGGGAACAAUAAAAUAAAAAUUACAACGUUCCAUUGGAAAUGUGCUAUCUCCGCUAAUGGCCAGUCAAAAAUUGUGAACCAAUGAGGCACCAUCCCUCAACUGAAGCUGCUCUAAACAGCCUAGUGAGCUAAGGUGGAGAGCAAAUUGUACUAUGGAGGCCAACACACCGGAUGAAAACACUGAUAUAAUGGGAGUUUUAGGUGGUGUUUGAUAAAUUGAAAAAUUAUGUAUUAUAGUUUAACUAUUGAAUUUAAAUUAUAAAAUUUAUUUAGUAUAAUUUUUAAAAUUAAGUACAAAAUAGAAUUGGAUUGUAUGAUAGAUGUACCUUUUAGAAAUUUAAAGAUUUUAGUUAAUAAAAUAAAAAUAAUUGAAAUUCUUUUUACAUUAAGUAAUAAGUAUCUCAUUAUGUGCUUAUCAUUUUUCACUUUUUUUUUAAAUUAAAAAUCCUAUCAUUUAUUUUCUACCACAAAUGAUCACACGUACUUAAAAUAUUAAAUUAUUGAAAAUAUUUAAUUACAAUGGAUUUAAUUUUUUCAAUAAAUUGUUAAACAAAGUCUUAGUCUAAAUAUAUUAAUACUGUUCGUUUGUUAAAAAAAUUAAACUCAUUAGGCCAAGUUGGAUUUCUUUUUAUUUGACAAAUUAGUAAAAAUUAACUAUUUUGAUAAUCACUAAUUUUUGUUGUCACAUAUAUUUAACGAGAUUUUAUCUGCUUAAUCAUUUAAUUAAUUUAUUAAAUAAUGUAAUUUUAGUUAAGUAAAAAUAAUAUUGAUCGUUAAUAAUUUUAAAAACAAAUAAAAUAUAUAAUUAAUUUUAAUAAUUUUAAUAUUAUAAUAAUUUAUUAAUUAAUAAUAUAUAUGAAAAUAAUGUUAUUAUUUCUAUUGAAAUUUAAAAAUAUAUUGCCAUGUUAAUUAAUUUCACAUUAAUAUAAUAAUGUUAAUUAAUCUUACUUUUGUUAUUAUCACAUAAUAAUUAGUAAUAUAUUAAUAUAUUUUAAUGUUAAUUUAGUAAUAUAAUAAACAAUAAAGAAAAUUUUAUUAGUUGAAAAGUUUCUUCAAACAUAUACUUUUACAUAUAUCUAUAUAUAUAUAUUAGUUUUCUAAAUUACGAGCAUUGUACUUGAAUAUAUGCAUUUAAUUAUUUUUAUUAUUUGAAAAAAUUAUUUUUUCUUAUAAGUAAUUAAUGCAAGUAAUCGUUAUUAAGUUAAUUAAAAUAUACCAAAAAUCCUAUCACACAUGUAUAUAUAUAAAAACCAUAAAUUUAGAACAUAAAUGUAUAUUUAAGAAUAACAUACAAUAAAUAAUAAAACAUAUGGUUUGAAACUAAUAAAUCAAAAUAACACAUGAAAUGUGUACAAUAUUAAAAUAAAAAAAAUUAGAUUAAAUUAUGAGUAAAACAAAAGUUAAACACAUAAAUACAUAAAAUAAACAAUACUAAAAAAAAUUGAUGGAGAUAAUAGUGUGUGCAUAAUAAAAUUAAAAUGUAUAAAAUAUCUCAAAAUAAAGUUUUAGUUAAUGGUAAAUUAAAGGUUUUACUAAUGCGAUUGGUGUAGGUUUGAAUUCUAUCAUAUGAACUUUAUUACUCAAAAAUGCCGAAAAUAUUUCAAAAUUACUAGAUUAGGCCGAUUUUUGGAAAAAUUACAGGAAUAGGUUGAUUUAGGGAAAACCCUUCAGUUGGGAGCAUUUUUAGGUGGAAUGUAGAAAAACGCUUCCAGCUGGAAGCGCUUUCCGCGUGUUACCAGUAAAAUGCUUCCAGCUGGAAGCGCUUUCCGCGUGUUACCAGUAAAAUGCUUUCAGUUGGACACGUUCCCCCUAAUGGCUAAUUAAAAUAGCUGUUGCCCUCCCAAUGGUAAAAAAAACUAUAAACCCCCCACCCUUACUCAUUUCUCACAAUAUUCUCUAAAAGAUCUCUCAAAAUUCUCAAACCACUCUCGAAAUUCUCUCAAAAUUCUUUCUUAAAUUUAUUACUUAAAUUCUAUUUCUAUCUAGAUUAUAUUUUUUAUUAAAUUUUUUUAAUAUUUUCUGAAAAUAUUUUUUAUUAAAAAUUAAUUCGUGUUAAAUAAUUAACAAUGGUCGGUUCUCUAAUCCAUUAUGAAGACAAGCACAUUUCUGUUAAACAAUUGCAAAUGGUAAGAAUAAUUUUUUUAAUAAAUUUUAAUUUUGUUUCAUUUUUUUAUUUCACUGUUAUAUUUUAACUUAAUAUUUUUUAAUUUUUUACGUAAAUAGGCAGAAGAUCGAAUUUUACAAUGCCAUAUUCGUAAUCUACUCGUUCCUCCAUCACUGUUGAUCGAACCGUACUUGAGGGAAGUCAAUUUUUGGCACGUGACCUUUGUAGGUUAGAGGUGUAAGUUGGACCCGAAACUCGUAAGCGCAUUGUUGGAGAGGUGGAGACUCAAGAGACAUACACUCCAUCUUUCAUGUAGUGAGUGUAUUAUCAUUCUGGACAAUGUGCUUUUAUAGUUAGGGUUACUAGUGGAUGGGUUGGUAGUCAUCGGGUCUGUUCACUCUGUUGAUUAGGAAGGCGUAUGUGGUGAACUUUUGGGUUCGGUUCUGAAGACGAUUUACGAAGGUUGGAUCAAAAUGAGUUGAUUAUGAAGAAAUUUCGUUGGGCCUGGAUGAGGAUUUGACUGAAGUCAAAAAAGAAUGACACGCUUGGGCGUACAUCCUUUAGAUCAUCGGGGGUUUCUUAAUGCCAAACAAGUCACGAAAACUCGUCCAUCUAAGGUGGCUGUUGAAACUCAUAAACUUUAGAGGAGCGAGCUAACUAAGUUGAGGGUCUGCUGUGUUUGUGACAUUAUACCGGGAGAUGUAUCGGGUGAUGCAACCACGAAAAACCAAAAUUGGUGGUUGCAUUCUGUUACUGCAAUCAUGGGCACGGUAUCGGUUGCCAUUUUUACAUCCUCAAGCAAACUAAAUAUAUACAUUGCCACUCGUAACAAGGUAAAAUUCAUUAGAUAUUACCAUAAUAAAAUUGAUUUAAAUUUAAAUUAUUAUGUUAAAAAGUUAUUUAAAUAGGUGGAACCAUGGGCCAAGUCACGUGGGAUUUCCUAUUGAGCUACAAGAUAUACGGCUUCUAUUAGACCUAUGAUCAGAAGAAGAGGUAUCUAUUUAUUUAAAUUUGGACUAUAUAAUAUUAACGUAGUCGAUUUCGUAUUUAGUAGUAUAUAUAACUAAUGUUUUUAUCACAUUAAUGUAGCUUGAAUGAACACCACAUGGGGAUCUAGCAAUUCGAGAAGUCAUCCCCGAUGAAUUCUUUGUGAAUCCGAACACCUGGCAUGCAAAGGUCCUAUUAGUAGUGUAUGCUACCUUCGAGAUACACGAGACUAAUAGAGUGUUGCAGCAAUUCAGAUUCCAAUAAUCAAUUUCUGUGGCACCUCAAGACCUUAAUUAUCUUCAUCCUAUUGACUUGUGGGGCUGGACGAAUGAGAAUUGGACUAUAUUUCAUUCCCAACAUAUCAAUAUAUGGAAUAAUCGGUAUUAUAUCUUACCUACUUGCGAACCAAUUGUCGUUCCAAAGUUAGCAUGCGAUCCGAAGUACAUACCAUGGUUUAGGAUCCAUGGUAAGCCAUAUUUGUACAGGGAAGAGGCGAGGCGUCGUCAUCCCCAUAAUAGUAGGCCACAAUGGGUCCCUUUAAAUCCAAGGAUUGCCGAGGCGGGUCCAUCAUUAGCAUCCAUGCAAGAAUUGGCACUAAUGGCCGUGGCACCAAUACCUACACCACUCACCGGUCAGUGUACCGUUUUAUUCUAGUACAUAUUCUAACCUUAUCAUCUUUACACAAACACCAUAUAUUGCACCAUAUUUUCUUUUUCUAGUCCUAUGUCAGGUUAACUUUUGGAAAUUUGUCUCCGAUGUAUUACACAUCCAUGCCGUCUACUUUUCCAAUGACCAUGACAUAUAAAUUGUUUAUAUUUUAGGCACUAAUGGGGAGUCCACUCAUUAUCCCAUCGGUGUAUGAAACUCAACAUAGUUAUGCUCAUUCGUCAUUUCUGACGUAAACACCUCUAGGAUCUUUGUUCUACCAAGGUGGGUCAUCUUCCCAACCACCUAUUCCUAAAUCAGAGGAUGAACGGAUCGUAAUUGACUGAAGGCAAAUAAAAGAAGCUACGAGACCAUAACCCCAACCGGAGGCUGAACCAAGAAGGAAUCCAACGCGCAACUGCCGACCACUCCGAUGUGGCACAAGUUCUGACUGACAUUUGAACUGAUUAAAUUUAUCAUUGUAUCGAACAUUUAUAUUGUAUUAAUGAUUUUUAUUAUUAUGUUUUUAAAAGAAUAUGCCACUGUCAUACCAAGUUAGUAUUUGUUAUCAUUUAACAAAUUAAAGUUGUAAUUUGUUAUCAUUUCACAAAAUGAAAGCUCAUAUUUGUUAUCAUUUCACGGAACUGCGCAUUUACAGAUUACAAUAGAAUUGAUAUUUCUUUUCUAGUUUGUAUCGUCCUUUCAAUAUCAAAAUGACGACAUUGUAUGGUCCGAGUUCUUACUCUAUCUGUAUAACUUUGGUUGGUUUGAGCCCUCUCGAAUAUUCAUGUUGUCGCAUAUUCGAGUCGGUGUCAGUCGACCUUUUGGUUUAUGAUGCAAUGACUUAUUAGGUAACAACUUAAAUGGAGCGCUCGAUAUAGGUGGCUACAUACGUUUAUAUGAGACUAGUGGGAAUACAUGUCUCCAAAUGUACAUGUGUUCUAAAAUGUACACUUCGUCCAUAAAGAUCAUGGGAUCUAAGCAUUGAUUGCUACAUGUUGCAAUUGCAUGAGCACAUGGAAAAUGAAAUACGUCAAAUCUCCUAUAGUCGCAAGUUCAAUGUUUUAGGUGUACAAGGUACACUCCCCCGGCAAUACCUUAGUCCGGUCUGGCAAACUCUGUUACCUGAAACUAUAGGUCUUCGUAUGAGCAACACACUUAGUGCAUGCAAUUCGCUCGUGUUGUAGCAUUCUUAUUUUGCCUUGGGCUCCAUACUUGGUCUCCUUACAAUUGUCCAACAUAACACACCACUUGCUUUGGGAAUAGUUCAGCCAAACGAAAGUAUGUCUCUUUCACAACUGAGGUUAUUGGGAAAUGAUGCGUUCCCUUUAAAAUGAAAUUGAUGCAUUUCGCCAACUUUGAGGUCAUAUGGCCAUAUCAUAGACCUCCGCUGUAGGAUUGUGUCCAUUGAUCAAAGGGUAUGUUAAAGAGGUACCCUACCUUGCCUGGUUAGUUAAUUGUAAGAUUUCUAACAUCUCAUGGAAACGAUAUUUCACGAGCUUGUACCCUGUCAAUAGAAGUGGAUAGUGGCGAUUACAUAUAAAAUAAUAUAAAAAAAUCACAAAAUAUUGGUUGGUGGUGAUUACAUACCCAUGUUGGUCAUUUGUUCUUGCUCACUGGUAGAGGGAUAUUUUUCGUGGUAGUUGGACACAACAUAAGUUAGAGAGUACCGAUGGAGUGUGUGGUCUUAGAGGCUUCCCUAUUGUUCAAUUGCGGAUAAUAUCCAGUUCCCCAAUCAGAGAUGAAUCAUAUAUCAGGUUGGGGGCAGACAUGCCUUUUUAACCUAGAUAAAAAGAAAUCCCAAUCGUCUAUUGACUUCCUUGAUGUUAUUGUAAAUGUAAUUAGAAGGAUUCUCUAAUUUCCAUCCUGUGCCAGAACCAACAAUAUCUGAUGGGUAUAUAUACCAUACAUAAAUGUACCAUCUAUUUGUACCAAUGGCUUGGGAGCAUUGCUUGAAGGUCCAAAACAAAUGGUGGAACACUCAGCAUCCACGAAGCAAGCGGUCGUUGUGGUACGCGGGCCCUAUUUCUAGAUCAAUUAUGCAACUUAGGAUGAACCUCUCCAGCACCCGACACCACUGCCAUACCUCAUUGUAUGACGCAUCCCAUCCAUUGUGCAUCUUAUCCAAUGUCUUCUGCUUUGCUAUUCACGCCUUGCGGUGCAAAUUCAUUUAAUCGAAUUGGCUACAAAUAUUUGCAAUUAAAAGUGACACAAUAAUCCUUGAACGUGCUUUCACGAUCGGUAGUAUUAUGCCCACGAUAAUCUCUAAAUUCAACUUUAGAUGGUUCUGUGAAAUACCUAUAACGUCACGAGUACUUUAAAUUUAAUAAUUCAACUAUGUCGUAAUAUAUAUCGAUAUUGAUACAGUACCAGUGGCAACAAACGUAUGCGGAGCGGUAAACUUCUUUAUCAUCCACAAUCCCAUCUUCUUCUUAACAGAAGCCACAAAUUUCCAUGUGCAUCUACAGUCUCGCAUUACAUACUUGGUGUCGAACUCCUUAGACUAGGAUUUAACCACGUGGAAGUAAACCCUAUUCUUGAUGCUAUAUCGCUUCAUUGCAGCAACAAAACCAUCUUUGGUGGAAAACUAGCCCAUUUCCAAAUUACCUGAAUCUAAUGAAGAACUCGUGUGGCCUGUCCUCCUGUAUGGUAGUUCUGAAAACUCUAACCCAUCAUUUGUUGUUAGGUCAACAUUUUGCAUGUGGGUUGGAGGCAAGUAUGUCAUGAAUUGUGGAUAUUCUUCAUCUUCUUCUUCACCCCCUUCACCCCAUUCACUGUCUUUUGGUUCAGUUGGAAUAGGUUUCAGUUCAGAAAAUAAUGCAAUUUCUAAACUGUUGGCACUGGGCUUCUAGACUAGAUCAACAUUAAAUUUAUUGCCAUCUUCAUUCUCGAACCCACCAACAUCUGCAGUGUUGGAUGUCCCCUCACCGGUGGAUGUUGUAGGGAGUAUAUUAUUCCUUCUCGUAUAGUUGUUGAAAUGUCCAAAAUCACUUGUCGAUAGCCAAUCGUUGGAAGUUGCUCCCAAUCCCAGUAAAUAUUCCCAGCGUUAAACAUUGACUGAUCGAAGUUCAUGUCUAACCUACUAACUGAGUGCCGUGUAGGGGUCAUGUAUUUCGUUCUACCAUAAAAACCUGAUUGUUCGAUGUUCUACCUACCGUGGUUGAAACCUAAGGUCGAGACGGAUAAGUGUUUUCCCAUCGAUGACUCCAGGAUAUCAUAAUGGGAACUUUUUAAUAAAGUGGUGAACCAACCAUACAACUGUGUCAUUGAACUAUUGACAUUUUCAACCAUUUUGGCCUCUUAAACAGGAAUAUAUGUCGACGUCCAAAGGCCUUCAUUUGGCCUUGAAAAGUCCACAUAUAACUUGAGAAAUGGUGAUCUACUACCAAUAUGCGUCUGCAUAUUGCCUCCAAGCCCCUAGCACAUUUGAUAUCCAAAGCAUCAAAUUUCAAGGGGUUGAUCAAAGCACAAAAUCUAUACUUAAGAGACGAUAUUCGUAUCAGGUUGGAUCCGAAAAUUUUGUGCCUAAUUCUUGUUCAGAGUUCUAGAAACUGUAUGUCUUGGUUUAAGGCCAUCCACGCUGUGUUCUCCGUUAAAAAAAACCAUACCAUUUUUGGUGUCACAAAACUCACCAUCAUAAUAAAUAAUAGCAUUAACCCGUCCACUCAUUUUGAACCAAAUUAUCUGUCGAGAUAAAUUUGAAACAAAAACAUUAUGCAAAAAAAUAAUGCUUUAAAUAAAUAUUAACAAAAAAAAUAAACGCUUAUGCUUACUUUUUAUACAAAUAAUAUCGUUGCUUCAACUUAUGCCUUCCCUACAAACUUUUAUUCUUUUGAACUUCUUAAAAUUUUAUUUCCUCAUAAAUGGUUUAUGCCACCAAAGGCUGAAAUAUGUUACAUUUAUAGCCCAUGGAAUGACUUCCUAUUUGAUUCUGAAAAAAUUCCCCAAAUAGUGAGAGGUUGAAAUUUGUAGAGAUAAAACGUUCCAAGCAAGACGCACUGUCAGCAGAAGUACUGAAAGCGCGUAUAGUAGGAAGCACUUUCAGUGCCACUCAGCUAAAAGCACUUCCAUCUAGAUGGACUUUUAGAACUUCUGCUGAUAGUGCGUCAUGCUUGGAGAGUUUUGUCUCUACAAAUUUCAACCCCCCACUAGUCGAGGAAUUUCACAUCAUAUUUCAGAUAUCCCGAGAUUUUCGGGAUAUAUUUUCAAAACCAUCUCGUAAAAAAUAAUGCACUGGAUAAGUAUUUUAUUGAAAUAUCGAAUCGAACUAAGAUUAAAAAAAGACAAAAUUUUAAAACUAGUUUUGCAUCCGGACCGAGUACUCAUAGUUUUGAUUUUUAAUCGAUUUGCAAAAUGAAAUUUGAAUAAACAACUAGUGUAAAUAUGAAUAUUUUAAAUAUCGAAUUCAAUAAUUACAAUUACUAUUAUUUUAAAUAUUUUAUCAAUUUAAAAUUUAAAAUCCCAAACCCUAAAAGUACAUAAACAUAACCCUACUUUAAAACCUUAAUACCAAAACCACUAAAAAACCCUAAAACCUAAUAUAACAUAGGGAAAAAUGCUUCCAGGUGGAAGCGUUUUUCUGCAUUUCACCUAAAAACGCUUCUAGCUAGAAGCAUUUUCCCAAAAUCGGUCUAUUCCCGUAAUGAUUUCAAAAAUCGACCUAAUAUGGUAAUUUUGAAAUAUUUUCAGCAUUUUUGAGUAAUAAAAUCUAUCAUAUGUUUUUUAGUGUUUUUUUAAAUGAAAAGAUUAAAAUACAUUUGAAUAAUAUUAUUAAUUUUAAUUAUGGAAGGACAUUCUUAUAAUUUCUCAAUCGAGUUGUUGACCAAUUGACUCCUGACACCAACUCGACCAGGAUAUUAAAUAAUAGUAUAAAUAAAAAAUUCUAUUAAUAAAAGAAUUCAAAUUGUAAUUAAAGUAAUUUUACAUAUUAAAAAAUAUACUUUUUAUGCUUUUUUCACAUUUUUCUUAUGGUUUUUUUGGUCUACCUUUACCAUUAAUUUUAGCAAAGAUAUUGCUUAUUUAUAAAAUUAAAUAACUGAAACUGCAAUUCAAGAUGAAUAUGUUCAUUCAAUAAUUAUUAGACUUUAUCUACUUGAUUUUUAAAUUUUAAUAUAAUAGUAUAUUAUUAUGUUUAAGUAAAAAAAUAAUUUAACAUAAUAAGACAUUUCUUAUCUAUAAAUUUAAAUAGUUUUAAUUACAAUUAAAGUGUCAUUCAAUAUGAAUAUAAAAUAUAAUGUAAUAAUUAUUCAAACACUAUCUAUCCUAAUUUUUUAUUUAGUUUUAAUACAAUAAUUAAAAUAUGUUUUUUAUGUUUAAAUUUAGGGUACAUUUGGAAAACACUUAGUAAUUGAAUUUGAGAGUAAUACUUUGUAAUUACACAUUUUUGACAUAUUUAGUAAUCAUUGUAAUUUUUGUAUCUCAUUAGAUUAAGUGUAAGCACCUUAAUUACCCUCUCUAAUUUUUAGAGAAAAUGAGAUAAUUAGAGUAAUUAUAUAAAUAAUGACAAAUAAUUACACUAAAUCCAAUUACCAUAUAACUAAUCAAACAAACUUGUGGAAUAUUUAAGUUUAUGAUGUUUGGACUAAUCAAACAAACUUGUGGAAUAUUUAAGUUUAUGAAGUUAGUUUUGUUCAAUAACAAUAGUAUUUUAAUUUUAUAAUAUAUAUUGUUGGAAAAUUUGGACAUCACAUAUAUAAUAAGGAUAAUUACAUGUUAUUAUUUACUAUCAUGAUAGUUUAGCCCAAAUUAAAAGUGAUCUAAUUUGGCUAGAAUUUUAUUGGGCUUUUAAUUAUUAAAUAAAGUAUGGGUCAAAUAUGUGUAGAUACUCUUCUAAUCAGAUUCUAAAUUAAUGAUGGGCUAAUUAGAAUUUGAUUAGAAAUAAUAUACUAAGGUUAUAAAUAUUAGGGUUAUGGUCCUCAAAUUAUAUACAAGAUAUCUUUUCUAAUAUCCCAUCAUUAGGAAAGAGAGAGUAGAUAUUCUCUGAAUUUCUUAUGUGCUAAUUUGGAAGAUCAAAUCCCCAAGUUCCAAAAAGUUUCAAAGAAUCCAUGGAUUCAGGUACGCUUCCGCAUCUAGUUUUCUUCUUGAUUUAUUCUUAAUGAUUUAACAUGACAAAUCUUGGUUUAUUAAGUUAUAUUGUAGAUUUAUUUUAUAAAUUCUAACAAGUGGCAUCCGAGCCUCGUCAUAUCGAAUCAUUGGGAAUUGAUUCAGGUUCUUCAUUUGAAUAAUUGAUUCAUGAAAUUUUAUGGAUUUUAUAUUUUAAUUAUAUAUUAUGUUGAAUCUUUGAGAUUCCUGAUAAAUUUUUGGGUUUUGAUUCUUUAAAUAAAGUUUUAUGAUUUUAUAAAUAUAAUCUAGUUUAAUAUUUGCAUAUGCUAUUCGAAAGAUGAAUGUUCAUUUAUUUAUUUGAUAAAAAUUGAUUUGUGAGAUUUCUUUAUCUUCUUUUCACACAAUUAUUUUAUAAUUUUUGGUUAAAGUCAUUAUUAAUUUAAAACUACAGACUUACAACUUUUUUACAAUUGAAAAAUUUCAAUUGAGUUGUAUAAUUGGUUUUGAAAGUUAAUUCACUUGAUAAUCGAAUAAAUGAAUGUUGGUAAGAUAUAUAUUUUUUCGCACUAUUUAUUUUAAAUUUUCUGUUUGUAGUUGAACAUAUAUGGAAUCAUCAUCCUUUAUCUUUAUUUAUGAUGAAUUAUAUUCACCAUUGAAUUCAAUUCAUAUAUACGAAUGAUUACUUUUGGUUUCUUUUAUAAUUAUUUUAUGUAGUUUUAGUCUUUAUGGAAUCUGAUUAAAAUUAAAAUAUUUGGGAUUAUUUUAUAAAUUCUAACAUAUAUAGUUUAAAUAUUAGUAGGAGAUUAUUUCUCAUACAUUUUAACUUACUAAAUAUUUAACUAAAUUAUAUAGCAUAUAAUAUAAAUAGAUUUGUCUAUGAGUCAGGAUGACUUGACUUAAACCAAGUUCGGACAAUAAUUUUUAUGCCUUGAAUUAGUCCGAUCUAAUUUGAAUCUAAUUUAAACAAUAAAAUAUUUUACAUUUAAAAUCAACUAUAUAAAUAUUAAUAUUAUAGACACUGCAUUUUCAUUGAUUUUGAAUAUUGUGUUUGAAAGUGAGAAUUCAUUAAUUUUGAAUUACAAAAAUUAAAUUUUAAAAUAUUAAGAUUCUAGACCAUGUAUAUAUUAUAACAGUGUAGAAAAUCAUAUAAUGAUAAUUAGUGACGUAUAUCAUUUUUUAUUUAAUUUCUAUAGAUCUUCAUUAUACAUUAAAUUUGUUUCCGUUGUUUGCAAUUGAAAAUAAAAGUUACGUCCAAUUCUUCACUAUCCAUGAGAUUAAAAUUUUCACUUUUUUAUCAAUAUAAUUUCUAAGACUACGUUCCAAUAUAUAUGAUUAGAAUUUUCUAAAUUGUUUUUUUGUUGAGGGUGCCUGUUAAAAGGGUUAGAUUCUUUAUUUAUAUGAUAUGGUUACUAUUUAUGGAUGAGACGUAGGUAGGUCCCAAAGCAUACCAAUAUGUACCUUAUUCUAGAGUUAACACAUGUUUUCUAGAUGAGGGUUCGCUUUCUUGGUGGUGCGAACCCAUAUGGUGUGGUCUCAUAGAAGGACGCGACCACCUUAGGUGCGAACUCAAAGUGUGAACAUUGUAAAUUACGGGCCAGGACCCAAUCGGGUAUUCGGGUAACGGGUCGGUAAUGGUGAGUACCAUAAAAAUUUGUCCCUCACCUAGUUCAAAGAAGUUUGAGAACUUGACUUCGUGAGGUGAUAGAUUCUUGAGAGAAAAGCUUAUCAUGUACGCUUUUUUCUUUAGAUUGUCACAUACACUUCACCACGUGUUGAGGAGUGGUACAACUGUAUACAGCUGAUUGUGCCUUCAUUCUCAGAUACACGAAUCAUUAAAGUGUAAAAUUCUUUUAAAAAGAGGUUACCCUAACCCUAAGAAUCAAAUUGUUUGAAUUUAAAAUUUUUUAGAAGGAGCUGCUGCUGGGGAGAAUAAUCAUUUUUUAAAGGUAAUUUUCUUAAAAUUUCCCAAUUAUUUUUGUGGAUUUUUUUUGAGUGUAUUCGGGCACAAUGGUUAGGGCGAGAGGAAGUGACCGUGUUAUUCAAGGCAUUCAUCAACACCGUAAGGUAAAUGCUUCGGUGGAGGCGAAAACUUAUGUUUGUACCACCAAAGAGGAAGAAAUGAGUCAUCCUUUGGCUGUUCGGGGAAUUCGAAUACCGAAAUUUGCCUAUGACUUCUCAAUCACUAAGGGGUCGAACCAAUUAAGUGACACCACUGAUGGAAGUAUGUACGUGCUAGAAGUGGGCUUUCAUCUACCACUCCACCCCUUCUUCUGCCAUCUUCUUGAUAAGUACAAGAUAGCUCUAGGGCAACUAUCUAGUUUUUCGUGGUAGGUCGCAGUAGCCUAUUUCCUUGAAUGUAGUCACCAAGAGGAGAUUUUGUUGAUCGUUGUUUUCCAGAAUCUGUUUCAACUCAAAACGUGCAAUUGAGGAGGUUCGGUAGGCUUGUUUUACUUUUCUCCUCGUGAAGGAGUGAAAUCGAUUAUCUCCAAUUGGUCCUUGAAUCUUUGCCUAAACCACUGUAAAUAUAUACGGGUCAAAUACAAGUUUGGAACUGGUUUUGAUUUUCCAAUUGAAUGGUUCAUACCUAGUAAGAACAUUUGCUUGCGAAAAUGAGAUAUUAUAUUUAAAGUAAGGUAGACUCAAUAUUAUAGGCUUCACUGAGGUCGCGUAAUAGAUUUGGAGGAAGUGUUAAUAGUUAGAAACAUGUUUCGGUAUUGUUUCGUAAAUUUGAGCCCUAAUGGAUGGCGACCAAUUGAUGAUAACAAUAGAGCAUGCACUGUGACUAUUUUGCACACGUACUUCGCGUGGCCACAUAGAGCCAGUGAUGAGUUAAAGCUUAUUCUCUUGGGAAAGAAGGAAAAGCCUAAAAAUUAUUCUUAUACCUUUUGUAAAUUAAAGACUUGUUUGUGGUCCUUUAAACCUGUAGGGGAUCAAGAAGGUGGUGUAGACUCCUUAUGGUAACUGUUGGUGCUAAUAAUAGACUUGUUAGUGAUGCAAACAUAAUUCCUGUUGUUGAAGAGAAUUUAAAAGAAUCCCCAAGUUUAUCCAGAGAGAUAGACGAGUACAUGCUCGUACAAUCCUUUAUGCAAAAUGUACGAGGUGGUCCCUUUGGUACUUCUAUUAGGGAAGGGAGUGCGAGUAGUAGAAAGAAGCAGAAGACUAUUGCUGGAGCUGCUAACAUUAUAUUAAGUAGUGAAGAUGAGGGUAUUCUAGCAAGGGAACUUCGCUGAAAGAAAGAGAAAGAUUGCGCUGUAACAUCAGGUGAUGUGGCGACCACUACUAUAGUUCCUCCUACAGUUCCUUCCCCUCCUGUGUCUCCACCUUGGAUGAACUAUCAACUGAAGGCAUAUUUGGGAUGAUUUUUGAUCAUGACCCUCUUGGGGGUUUAAUAAAGUUUAUGUCUUCUGGUGACGAGACACAAACAUUAUUUCUGUGGUGCGAGCUCUUAAGAAUGUAGAAGUUUCCUUAUUGUCCCACUAAAGUAAGAAAAAGUAAGAUUCUUGCUUCAUGCUAUUCCACCAUCUCCGCUUCUUGGAAGACCACCGCCCUUCUUCUUACUUACGAUACAGUUGGUCUGACUAAGCCCAUUUGCUUAAUGAAGGCCGAGAUGAGCUUUCCAGAGUAAAGAUUCAAUGCUUGAAGAAGCAAAAGAGCAUGUUUGUCCAUUUGCAACAUCCAACUGUGUAACACCUAGUUUCGGCCAGUUUUAAGUCCUGGUGAGUAGUUUGGAAGUAAUUUGUGAGAUGUAGUUCUAUCUGCCUAAUUGUUUUUUUACCAUAUAGGUCGGGAAAAUAGUAGAUUUUAGAAUAUAUUGUAAGGAUUGAUCUCAGAAUGUGUUAAGUUGUAUUGAAGAAUAGAUUGGUAAGAGUAUUGAGGAUGCUUGGGUAAAUUGGGGUUAUCACUGAAGGUAUUGUACGUAAAGUUAGUUGGAUAGUGCCAGUCACGUUCUAACGAGGAAGUUAGGAAUGAAACAAAGAGAUGAACCAAAUACAUAUAAAAUAUUGGAUUUUCAUAGCUGCAAACCAUUUAUAAAGGUAGUUUAAAAUUUUGUGACAUGUGUCAAGUUCCAAUAAGGACUUAGGUUAAAAAUGUGGAUAUUAAGGGUAGAAAUAGGGGAGAUUUUUUCUUCUUUCAUCUAAAGUAUCGUUAUUUGAAGCUAGAGGAACCAAAUGUAUUUCUUUCUCCUUUAAGCUAAAGUUGUAAAUCUGGAUCUUUGUUAGUGACUACUCCAUGUAAGGGUAAGUAUUGUGACUCUGCAUAUUAAAGCUGUGAAAGAUUAAGCCUGAAUAAGUACAUGAAUAGUUAAAUGAACAAGUAAAGCUUUAUAUGAGGGUUAUCUGGGUUUGAGAUGGUGGCUAAGGUUAUGAAUGAGUUUUAAUUGUGUUCUUUUGUUUUAUAAGCAGUGGUUGCUAUAGUUUCUUAUUAGAUCUAGAGUUCAAGCUACUAUUUAUGGUUUUCAAGUGAGUCUCUAUACUGAAUCUUGUAUGCGUAUUGUUCGUACUAGAAGAUCUACUAAAAGCUAGUUAAAAAGGUGAUGUUGAGAUAUUAAAAGUUAUAGUUUGAUAUGUUUGGGACUACAUAAGAGAUUAUUUAAGGAUAUUUAUGAUUAUAUGUUUGUUGAGGAUGAUAUGUAUAUCUGGUAUAGAUCCGAUGAGUUCAAGUAAUGUGAUGGGAAGUAUGACUGUGUAUGUGUGUCUCGGAUGCAUACUAUGUAGUAUGUUCUGUUAAGAGUCUAUCAAAUGAUUCUAUGUCUAUUCACCGUGGUGGAGUCUAAGGGGGUCCGUCAGGACUAAAAACAUGAACAUUGAUAUGAACCUCUGAAGGAAAAUACCAUGGCCAUGAGACCUUCUGAAAGGAACAAAAGGACGAUGAUUACGCAAUGAGGUUCUCUACAUGUCCCAAGAUGAUGAUGGGCAAACCUUACAUAAUGUUAGUUAGGAAAAUCCAUAUCGAAAACAUGUCAUGAUAGAAAAAACUUUAUGGAAAAUCAUGAAUGAAAAAUCUUUGUGCCGAACCCUACAAAAAUAGCCUUUGUGGCGUACAACAGAUGGACUACCCUUAUGGUGUGUCUUAAUAAGGUUCUUAGAGAAGAACUUUAAAGGAUGACAUUUUUGAUAAGUUUUGAAGGAAGCUAGUUGGUGUAUUCAAUCUGGCCUUUUAAUGUAAUCAAAAGACAAUCAAUAAGGCAUAAGUCAUCUAUUGAUUAUACGACAAAGCGUUAUCUAAUACUACAGAUCAAUUGAGAAUAAAGAUGUAAAAUUGAAUGUUCGAAGAAAGAAUCUAUUAUCUAUGUAUGUACAGGGGCAAAGCCAGAACAAUUUUUUAGGGGGAGGCGAAUGAAAUUUUAAUUUUUUAUAGUCUAUAUCUUUAUAAUAUUUAAAGGAUUAAAUAUAAUUUUUAUAAUUUUAGGGGGGGCCAAAGUACAAUUUUACCUUUACUAAUUUAAAAUUUUAAAAAAAAUUUAAUGGCCUAAAUAGCAAUUUUACAUUUCAGGGGAGCUAGGGCCCUUACCAGCCUUCCAAGAUUCACCCUGUAUAUGUGUUCCUUCUUGAUUUGUGAUAAGAUGAUGGCUCAAAGUUUGAAGGAUGUAAGUCAUGCAUCGAAGACAUUGAAGAAAAGAAAUAGUUUCAGAGGGAGGUAUAGUAACAGACGAGUAUAAAAGAGUAGAACUUGAGGAAGUAUUUGCCAGAGAAAAAGUUGAAGGUUGAGAACAAUGGGAUUGUUAAUCUAAAUUAUCAAAUGCUAUAUGCAAUUAUGACUUAGGUAAAUGAUGUUUUCCUCACUAAGUUCUUAUGAACUUAUUCGUUUGUGUUAUGUAAAGGCGGGUUGAUGUGGGUCUGUUCCAAGAGGGAUGAUACUAGGACUACGCCAAGAAAUGGCGUAUUAGGUUAUUAUGCAUACAGAGUGAGUUGAUAUAACACAUUGUCAUAAAUAUGUUACCCUCAUAGGAUAUCCUUUAUAUCCUUGGUAUGAUACCUGUUCUUCCAAUAUAAUCAUAUUUUAUCUCAUGGUAACUUUUACAUCUUCCUUCAUUAAAAGUCAAUCACUAUCAAAUAGUGAUCAAGUUAUCCAUCACAAAGACGGAUGACUUGUGGCCAUGUUUACUUUUCACCAACCAUGUAAUGCUAAUGAAAGGAUAUCAUUUACCUUUUUUGGGGCUAUGAAUUCCACUAUUUUGAACGAUUCUCCAUACUACAGAAGUCGUACACCCAACGCACUGGCUUUCAGUUCCUUAUCUAUUUGAACUCAGCCUUUUACUUACAUCAAAAUGUACUAGUAAUGCACAUAUAGUCCGCCAUCCACUCAUGAUUAGGCAUGCCACACUUUGAAUGUCACAAGUGAAUAAAUCCAUAAAUGGAUUUAGGAUCUAUUCUACUUGGGUCCUGUUUGAUGUACUGUCAGUCCAGUCAGUCACAUCUAUGUCUUUAUUAUUUAGGAGUCAUCCACUCUGAUGCCCAAAAAAAAGGCAUCUCCCCAAUUGGACUUGAUAGACGACAUAUUAGUCUUUUAAUCGGUUUGCUUAUUUUUUAUUAGACUAAGUACAUGUUUAGGUUUGUUUAAUAAUACAAGUUGUCUUUUCGUACUAUGACCCGGCCAUAUUAUAUCGCUUAGUAUUAGUUAAACAAUUUGACAACCAAUAAGCAACAUUUGCUUCCAUUUUUCUUUGCGUGCAAAAACCAUAUAAGGAAAAUAUAGAAAAUAUUAAUGUAAUUUAUGAAUAAUUUUAUUAACCAAUUUGUUCGAAAAGAUUACAAGUGUACUUAGAUGAAAAUACUAUACUUAGGGCACCAAAUCCAAAAAUAGGAGCGUCUUACUCUUAUUGAAAAAUGUAUUGAAAAAUUGCUUAGAGAGAUCACAUGUGAGGAAGCUGAUAAGGAUGGUUUGGAGGUGACCAUGAAAAACAUGGAUGAGCAGCAUAAAUUUGUAUGGCUAAUCUGAUGAAGAGUCAUGAAGAGGAUUUGGAAAAGUACAAAGUUGAUACCAUGUAAAGCUUUCAAGAUUAUUUUCCAGAUUUAGAAUCUAACUUCUUGUUACACGCUCAAUUGGUUGGUUGUCUCUUUGAUGCUCGCUGGCUAAAUUUUGAUGCUCUCAGCCAUCUCAUAGGUGCUUAGCUAGACUUCAAUAUUCACUUCCCUUUUGCAACUGCUUGGGAGGAAUUUGUGGAAGAGUAGAAGAACUUUAGUAGGCUUUACUUUGCUGAGACCAGUGUAUCUCCCAUUGUUGGGUAUGAAGAAAAUGCUAAUGAAGAAGUGGAGGGAGAAGAUGAAGAGCUUGCCAAUCCCCAGGAUACUGGUGCUAACUCAUGAAUUCUUUGCACUAAUUGUGUUUAUUGUUUUUAUUUUAAAAUGGAAAGAAGUAUCUUUGGCUUUUGUUGAAACCCUGUUGUGUUUGGUUGUGAUUUUGUUUGAGCAAACUACAUAACUAAGUUUCCAUCACAAAUGACUUAAUGAACAUAAUUUAAAUGGUGGUUUGGAAAUCAACUAAUUAGAUAAGAUUGUUCAUGAUAAUAUAUCAAAUGAACUUAGUUGCAAUCUUAAAUCAGUGAGUUGUUUGAAGCAGCGAUAUUAAUUCAAGUAACUCAGAGAAGACUGUUCAUGAUAGUAAAUCAAAUGAACUUAGGUUACGAUCUUAAAUCAGCGAGUCGUUUGGAGCAGCGAUAUUAAAUCAGCUAACUCAGAGAAGAUUGUUCAUGAUAAUAAAUCAAAUGAACUUAGACUAUGAUCUUAAAUUACCGAGCCGUUUGGAGCAACAAUAUUAAAUAAACUAACUCAGAUAAGAUUGUUCAUGAUAGUAAAUCAAAUGAACUUAGGCUGCAAUCUUAAAUGAGUGAGCCGUUGGGAGUAGCAAUAUUAAAUCAGUUAACUCAAAGAAGACUGUUCAUGAUAGUAAAUCAAAUUAACUCAAGCUGCAAUAUUAAAUCAGUGAGCCGUUUGGAGUAGCAAUAUUAAAUCAGUUAACUCGGAGAAGAUUGUUCAUGAUAGUAAAUUAAACGAACUUAGGUUGCAAUCUUAAAUCAGUGAACCGUUCGGAGCAACAAUAUUAAAUCAGCUAACUUAGAGAUGAUUGUUCAUAAUAGUAAAUCAAAUAAACUUAAGCUGUGAUCUUAAAUUAGCGAGCUGCUUGGAGCAGUUAUAUUAAAUAAGCUAACUCAGAGAAGAUUGUUCAUGAUAGUAAAUCAAAUGAACUUAGCUUGCAAUCUUAAAUUAGCGAGCUGUUUGGAGCAACGAUAUUAAAUCAGCUAACUCAGAUAAGAUUGUUCACGAUAAAUAAACUAAAUAACAUUUGCAAAGAGUAUAUUUUUAUUAAAAAAGAGAGUAGAACAUUCAUAAUAAUAUUUUUUAUAUGGUGCGCAUUCUAUAUAUGAGGUAGAACAUGGUUAUCCAUUUUUGCUAUUCUAUAAGCUCCAUAACCUAUUUUUUUGACAACUUUGUAGGGUCCCUCCCAAUUAGAGGCCAUUUUUCCUUGCUGCGAUGCUGGGAAACUGGCUUCAGUAUUUCUUUAAACCAAAUCGCCUACUUGAAACUAUUUGUUCUUCACUUUAGAAUUAUAGUAUCGAGCAACUUGUUGAGCUUGCACAACAUUUAUGAUUUCUGUUGUCUCCCUAACUUUAUCGAUGAGAUCUAAGUUGAGUCUAAUGGCCUCUUGGUCUAUGAAAAUGAGAUGUCAUAUGUGAUUGUAGGCCUAUCUCAGUAGGGAUGACCGCCUCUGCCCCAUAUACCAAUGAAAAUGUUGUCUCUCCUGUUGCUAUGUGAGGUUAGGUUCAAAGGGCCUAUAUAAUUACUAGAAGCUCUUCUAACCAAGCACCUUUGGCCUCAUCAACCUUUUUCUUUAAAUUUGUUAGAAUUUUCUUUUUCAUUACCUCCGCUUGACCAUUUAUUCGGGGAGUUUUUACAAAGCUUUGAGCGAUAGAAAUUUGUAGGUACUUGCAAAAAAUCCUUGAAUUUUCCUUGGAAUUGAGUUCCGUUGUCUAUUAUGAUUAGACAUGGAAUGCCAAACUUGCAAACAAUGGAUUUCCAGAGAAAAGACUUCAUUUGUCUCUUUUUGAUUGUAACCAGAGCUUCAGAUUCUAUCCACUUAGUAAAGUAGUCCACAACUACAACUAUGAUUUUCAUCUAAACUGUGGCUAUUAGGAACGGACCUAAAAUAUGUAUUCCCCAAGUUGCAAAUGGCCAAGGACUAGACAUUACUUCUAGAGGCUCAGUUGGUGAUUGCUACACUUGAGAAUGUUUUUGGCAGAAAUCACAAGUGUAAACCAUAUGGUGUGCAUCUUUCUACAGAAUUGGCCAGUAAUAACCCUACUUGAGAACCUUUUGUGCUAACAAUAUUUCACCCAGAUUAUCGCCACAUAUUUCCUCAUGUAUCUCUCUCAUGACAUAUUCAGUUUUAGUGAGAGCAAGACAUCUCAAAAGUGGUUGGGAGUAAACUUUUCUAUAAAACACACCCUCCAAUAAGAUAUAUCUAAAGGUGAUAGAUAAAAUGAUUUUAAUUGAAUGAGGACUGAGUAACUUACAAAUACAAGGAUAUAUUAAAUGUAAAUAAUAACAUCGUACCUUAUAACCUUGUGUUGUAUUUUGGCGAGCUCCUUUUUGUUGAGGUAGUGAGUCUCCCAUUGUAGGGCUUGCACUAUAGAGGUCAUCCACAUUUCUUCUUAGCUCAGAUUAAGCACUUGUUGAGUGUUACAAUUUGCGGUGGCUCUAUGCUCUAACAAAAUUUUCCUCCUUGCUCAAUAGUAAUAAAAGAAGUUAACUUAGACAAAAUGUCAGCUUUGGUGUUCUCCAUCCUAGAUAACUGUCUAACUUGUGCCUUGUCAAACUGAACGAGUAGCUGGGAGGCUAUGGCAUGGUACUUCUUUAGGCUUGGCUCUUUUACUUCAUACUCCCCAUUCAUUUGCUUCGCUACUAGCUAAAAAUCAAUGUGUAUUACCAAUCCCCUCACCCCAACUUUAGAGCCAGUUGUAGUCUUGAAAUUAAUGCCUCAUAAUAUACAGAGUUGUUAGAUGCUUGGAAACUAAAGGAUAACCCAUACUACCACUUAUUUCAUUAGGGUCUAUAAGGAGAACUCCUGCCCCUGAUCCUAUCUUCGUUGUUCAGCCAUCCAUAUAAAAAAAUCCAACACUUUGGCUUCACAGCUGAGCAAGUUUGUUCCUGUGAUGAGCUAAUUACUACAUCUUGUAUAAUCAAUAGAAAAGAGUUUUUAGAACCAAAUGUACAUUUUUAAUGAAAUAUCAUGAAAUAAGAUGAGUAUUUUUUUAAGUAGGUUUUCAAUAAUUUAUGUGACAUACUAUUGUAUUAUUUAUGUGAGUACUAAUGUUUGAAAUUAAAAGUUAUAUGUACAGUCUAGUGAUCUGCCAAAACAACAUUGCACCAUGAAAUUGGCUAAGAUUUGAGCUUUGAUAGUUGUUCUCAGGGCAUACUCUAAUCCAAAUUCUGCCAAUUCACUUCCCCACUUAUUCAUUCUACCUCAAGUAUAUACUCUAGACAAUAUGUCUUUGAUAGGUUGGCUAGUCAUGACAGUCACUAGAUGAGCUUAAAAGCAGGGUCGCAACUUACGAGCUGUCACAAUUAAAAAAAAAGGGAUUUUCUAUCUUUGAGUACCUUUGUUCAUCGUUCUGCAACAUCUUGCUAAAACAGUUCACUGAAAAUUGGAGAACCCCUUCUGUCCUGAUGAAAACAACUGCUGUAACACCCCUAACCCGUAUCCGUUGCCGGAAUAGGAUUACGGGGCAUUAUUGAUCAAUACACAUCAUUCACAUAUAUAACACAUACAUUUAUACAUUCAUAAUUAAAAUCCAUUCAACACAUUUAUAUUAUCCCAUAUAAGGCUCUAUGAGACCUUAAAACAUGCUUAGAAGAGGUUCGAGACUAAACCAAUAACAUUUGAAAACUUUGGGAAACUUAGAAAAUUUUCAUGCAUUUAAGGGUCACACGCCCGUGUGAACAGGUCGUAUGCCUCACACGGCUACCAGACACGCCCGUGUCACAGGCCGUGCAAAAAUAGGGCAUACAUACUGACUUGCACCACACGGCCGGAUACACGCCCGUGUGUCAUGGCCAUGGAAAACUGGAGGGGUUACUGACUUGGGUCACACAGCUGACCACUCGCCCAUGUGCCAGCCCGUGUGCCGCACACGGCAAUUAGACAUGCCCGUAUGUUUAGGCCGUGCCCAAACCUAUAAGGUAUACUGACUUAAUUCGAAAGGGUACCCCAGGGGACACACGGCCGUGUAUCAUGACCGUGUGUCGCACACGGUUGAGACACACGCUCGUGUCUCUGCCCAUGUGGACAAAAAUAGACUAUUUGCAAAUUCGAUUUGCCACCCUUUCUCAUGCUCACUUAAACAACUAAAAUGGUACUAAUUCAUCAUAGAAUAGCCAUCCCAAAAUCAUAAACCAAAUGUACAAUUCAUACUAUAUCCAUUUCAAACAAAUCCCAUAAUCAAUUCAGGCCAAAUACCUAUUCAAAAAAUUAUAUCAUCCAACAUUCAUCCACAAGCAUAUAUCUCCUCAAUUUAUCAACUUCAACCAUACCAUAUAAAUCCUUUACUAAACUCAAAACAUUACCUUUUGAACAACUAUGAAACGUUAGCCACAUUUAUACCAAAAUAUACCAGACUAAGCCUUCACACAAGGCUAUCUAUAGAAAUCAAAACAUAUACAUUAUAGCCAAAUCUCGUGGAUAUAUUCACAACCAAAGUACCAUAACUAGCCUAUACAUGCCAUAUACCAUAUUUACAAGGCUUCAAAAGUACCAACAAAGUGAUCGAUAGUGUGAUGACGUUUCCCGACGAUCCCCAAGUCCGAGCUAGCUUUGAUUAUCUAUAAAACAUAGACAAAUAACACACAGUAAGCUUCAUAGCUUGGUAAGUUCGUAAGUGAUUAAUUCAAUUCAUCAAAUAAUUGUAUUUCAACUAUUAACACAUUACCAAAUCAAAAUCACAUUAACCACAAACCUUUCUCAUGUCUCAAAACAUGAUCCAAUACCAUCUCAUUGAACUUCCUCAAUGUAAUACUCAAAUAGGUUCCGUACGUACCUGUACCACCUCGUACUAACCUUUUUCUUAAAUACAUCAUUCUAUACCCAUUGAAACAUUUGGAAUAGAAGUCGGAUACUCAAGAUCUCAAUUAAUAAGUACCUAUACCAUGACCCGUAGCCAAAUCAAGGUAACUUAUCCCGGAGUACCUAUAUCAUGGCCCGUAGCCAAAUCAAGGUAACUCCUCUCUGAAUACCUAUACCAUGGCUUGUAGCCAAAUCAAGGUAUUAUUCACACUCGAAGUGCUGAUAUCAUGGCCCGAAGCCAAUACAUUAACCUAAUGACAUGUCAUUAUCAUCCUAACUAUUCCUAAGGUUCAACUGGGAAGUUUCACAUGUCAAUUUCAUCUUCGAACACAUCCAUAUAGUCGUAUUCACAAUUCAAAGAUUAUCCGUAAUCUCAUAAUCACAUUUUAUGCAAUACCAAAGCAUAUAACAUACAAUUAUAAUGAAAUUGUCACAUACGAACUUACCUUGUACUCGUAAUUAACGAAUCGGAUUACUUACUCGAUAAAUUUCGAUUUCUCCAGAUCUAAAUCCGAUUUCUUUAUUUCUUGAUCUAUAUAGAUUCAAAAUUAACUCAUUUAAUCACCUAUUCAUUCAAUUUCAUCCAAAAAUACCUAUUUAGGCAUUUUUACACUUUAGCCCCUAAGUUUCACAUUUAUUCAAUUUAGUCCUUGUUUCAAAAAUACGCAAAAUACACACAAUUCAAUCCAAUUACAUGCUAGCUAAAUUUCAUAGGGACCCCUAGCAGCCCAAAACUUUCAUUUAUUUCACAUUUUAUUCACCCAAUUUACACUUUUCACAAUUAAAUCCCUAAAAUGCAUUUUUAGCUAAAAUCACUUAACAAAACUUUAAAAUCUAUCAUCAAGCUUUCAUAUUUCAUCAUUAAUCAUUCAAAAGCUCAAGCAUUCAUCAAUGACACUUCACAAAAUCAUGAAAAAAAAAUCAAAAAUUAAGAUACGGGCUAGCUAGGUUACUAAGCAACGAUCUCAAAAACGUAAAACUCAUUAAAAACCGAGCUAAAAAAACUUACCAAAUUAACCAUGCACUAGCCAACCCCUAAAACUCCAUUUAUCAUUUCUUCUUCCUCCACAUUCGUCCGUCCAAGAGAAAAGAUGGACAAAAAAUUUGUUUUAUUAUGUUUUAAUUAACCUUAUUAUCAAAUUACAAAACUAUCCUUAAUAUAAUUCAUUUAAUAACACAUAAAUGUUCUCCAUAAAAGUCCACUAUCACUUAAAACAGUCUAAUUACCAUUUAAGUCCAUCAUAUUUAAAAGCCAAGGCAAUUUGAAACUUUUAACUAAUAGCAUACAACUUUUACAUUUUAUGCGAUUUAGUCCUUUCAUCAAAUUAAGCUUUCAAACGGUAAAAUUAUUUCACGAAACUUUCACACAUAUAUAAUCACAUGCUAUAAACACCAAAAAUAUUAUUAAAAUAAUUUUAAGUCUUUAGAUUUGUGGUUUCGAAACCACUAUUUUGAUUUAGCUAAAACUGGGCUUUUACAACUGCCAUCAUUUCUUUAGAGAUUACAAGAUAAAGAUAAAAAGUCUUCCCUAUUCGGUGCGACAUCAAAAGCGGUGGAGACAUGAGGUACAACUUGAGCUUUUAAAAAGGAGCUUGGCAUUCCUCUAUCCAACUAAAAGAGGUUCUCAAGGCCUUAAACAAAUGUAAGCAUUUAUCUGCCAUUCUAGAAACAAACUUGUUGAAUGAAACUACCCUUUCUGUGAGGUGUUGAACGUCCUGAAUAGUCUUCGGGGGAGGCAUAUCUAGAGUGACCUGAAUCUUCUCAGGGUUGACUUUUAUGCCUCUUUUUGAAACCAGGAAGCCUAAGAAUUUUCCUACUCUCACACCAAAAGCACACUUCUCUAGAUUUAACUUCAUGUUAUAGGCUAGUAAAACAACAAAAACUUUAUAUAAAUCCUUAAUAUGCUCCUUUAAAGUAGAAAAAUUCACUAAAAUGUCAUCGACAUAGACUUCACACUGCGACCAAUAUGUACUCUCAAAAUCUUAUUAACCAACCUCUGAUACGUUGCACCUGCAUUCUUCAACCCAAAAGGAAUAACUCGAUAGCAUAAAAAACCCUCCAUCAUGACAAAGGUCAUUUUAUCCUGAUCUUUUGAAGCCAUAGAAAUUUGGUUAUAACCUGAGAAUGCAUCCAUAAAACUCAUGAACUUAUGGCAUGAGGGCGCAUCUACUAAUCUGUCAAUUGAGGGAAAAGGAAAACUAUCCUUUGUGCAAGCCUUAUAUAGACUAGUAAAAUAAAUGCACAUUCUCCAUUUUCCAUUGACCUUCUUUACCAUCACAAUAGUUGACACCCAGUCCAGGUACACCACCUCCCUGAUAAAUCCUGUUGAAAGGAGCUUUCCUACUUCUUGUCUAAUAACCUCCACAACAUGUGGAGUAAACCUUGUUCUUUUCUAAUUGACUAGCUUGACCUCGAGGGACACUUUUAAUUGAUGGAAAAUCAUCUGACGAUCCACACUAGGCAUGUCUACGAUUGACCAUGCAAAAAUGGCUGAAUUCUCCCUCAAGCAUCGCAUUAAGGCUUCAUUUUAUUAUUCUUCUUCUAAUGUUGAUGAGAUCCUUACCAACUUGCCUGUGUUAUCAUAAAACAAUUGCAAAGUCUCUGUGACUUCUACUGCCUCUAGCUUGUGAACUCUCUCAUCACUUCUAACAUCUAAACUGCCCAAAUCUAAGACCUGGCUAGCUAUAUCUACCUAUUGCAAACCCUGACCCCGUGGCUCCUAUUCAUGCAUUUGCUUAACUGACAACAUGUGACACUGCCUUGCUGUUUGUUGGUUAGAUUUUAUGAAACCUAUCCUCGUCUUAGUAUGGAAUUUAAUCUUCAUGAAAUUAACAAUCACCAUUUUUAGCCAUUCUCAUAAUAGGAUGCCUAAAAAUGGCAUUUUAAGCCAUUGGUCUACCACAAAGAACUGAACAUAUUCUGUGGUGGUGUACUCGUCAUCCCCCAAGGUAACAAGUUGAGUAACACAUCAUUUCACCUCGACUGGAUGGUUUACAAAACCAUACUAAGGGCUUUCCUUUUUCAACGCUUGCUCCUUUAUCCUCAUAUUCUAAUAUACAUCCUAAGUCAACAAUGCUACAUCAGUUACACUAUCAGCCAAAAUUCUUGUAACCUCAAAUCCUGCUAUAGUUGACGAUACGACCAUAGGAUCAUUUCCUUCCUCAUCACAUACCAAAUCCUCAUCCUCUUCAUUAAAUUCUACUUUCCACUUCUCUUGUUGACGCAAAUUUUUGACGAACUGACCGACAUUACACAUCUAAGAUGAGCCUUCUUUUUCGUGUUAGAGGUCAUCCACUCUUCAUAUGUACCAAUUAUCACAUGUAUUGUGCCUGAAACUUUUUGUUUACCUUUAUCAGCAUCCCGUGAACUCUGACUUGAUGGCGAGGAAUCUUGAGCCUCAAAAUAUUUUAGCUCGACAUUUCUAACUACCUCAUCUAUAGCAUCUUUCAAAAAGAAACAAUCCUUGGAUUUAUUCCCCUAUCAUUAUGAAAAUUACAUCUCUUCCUCAAGUUGGCCCUAGACUGAUUACGUUGCAUUGGUAGAGGGCUUGGCAAAAUGCCCAAACUUUUGACCUGACUAGGAAUAUAGGUAUGUGUAGCAUUUAAGGGAGUGUAAGCUUCAAAUUUUCCAUGAGGAACAUAUCUUUUAGUGUGCUCACCUUGAGGCCUCUAGAAUGCCUUUUGUGAUUCAUUCUACGAAUAAUUCCUUUAUUUUCUCCCACUUUGUACACGCAGACUCUAAGAAAGAGCACCCUAUCGGUAGCAAACACUUUGGUGACCCCUAAAUUGCUUGUCUUCCCUUUGAAAAGUGUUACGAGCUUCCCUUUUAAUCUCCUCUGUAACAUCCCUUACCCGACCUAGUCGACGAACUCGAGUAAAAGGAUGCUACAAAAAAAAUACCAAAUAAUUUACAUGUAAUUUAUUAAUGAAAAUAUCAAUUAAUUAUCAUCAAAUCACAUAUAAUCAAAUAUAAUAAUUUGUAAGAUCUAAUUGAGAAAUCCAGGCAUGAAAUAAGGUUGAAUUUUAGAGAUUUCAAAAUCUUAAAGUUUUAAAGUUGGUAUCCAUAUUUAAUUAUUGGAUAUCAAUACUGUAUUGAUACCUUAUUAAAAAUUGAUACCAAAUCACGUUUCUGUUUAUUAUGCAAAACAAAAGUGAUAUUUAUUUUCUAGUGAUACCAGUUUGGCAUUCUGCUUAUUUUGAAACUGUUCAUAUGGUCAAGUAUCAAUACCAAAUGCCAAAAUAUCGAUACUUAAGUUCAUAAAUGGUAAAUUCGUAUCCUUAACAUGUCUAAUUCAUGCUAAAAUCAUCUAUAAUUCAAACGGUACUCUCAAAUACAAUUAUAGAUAAGAAAUUUAUCAACCUAAGACAUAGUUAUUUAUAUGCAACAUAAUCACAUACUUACACUUCACAACUAUCCAAAAAUUAUAAACUAGCUUACAUGAUUAACUUCCAUGUUUAACCAAUUCAAUAAAUCUUCCAUGACAAUUUCACUAUCACAUACUUAAUCAUAACAUACCCAUUCAACAAUCUCAUGUUUAAAGUAUCAACUUACCAAAAGAUCACUUAGGCAUAGUCUAAACAUAGCAUUCAUCAUUCUAUACUAUACACAUGCAUCAAUCAAAAUCCCAUCACAUAGCAUGCUAUAUCUAAACCAUUAGUGUAUUAGGCAAGUAACUCAAGAAACCUAACAAAACAUCAACAACAUGACUAUUACCGUCAUAUACAUAUAUACAUACACUUCCAAAAUGCCAACAAGAUACAAAAUAUUCAAUAUAACCAAAAGACUUCCUAAGUACAUGCCAAGACCAAAAUAAACAUAGCACCAACACUUAAGUUUGGAAUUGCAACUAGAUGCCCAGUCAACAAUCGAAUCGUAAAGUACUUAACCUACGCAUAGAGAACAAAACUGUACGCUGAGUAUAACUCAGUAGUAUUUUUAUAAUCUAAACUUUAAACGUAUCAUAAAACAUUCAAGUGCAUAAGAUUAAUAUGAAUACUAAAAUGCAAUUUAUAUAUCAUCAAUACUAACUCUCAUAAUCCAUUAUAAAUACUAACACAUCUCACUAUAUGAAUUCAUAACAAAUCACUUCACAUAUCAUUACUCAACCCAUUUCACUAAUAAACAUUCCAUUUCACUCUUUUUAUUGAUUUCAUAAACAUUCACCUUCUAAAUUUUCAUAUUAUACAUUCAAAUAUCAUAUACAUCUUUAUUUUCAUUCCAUAAAUAUAUAUAUCCUUAUUCUGAUUUCCAUCUUUAUUUCCCUAUUAACGUGACUUGGACUCAGACAUAUAUGCGAAUCCAACCAACACACCAAUUUGGCACCCAGUGCCUAAUGGGUAAAUUCGUAAUAAUAAAAUGGCGCCCUACAUUGGUCGAUAAAACUGAAAAAUAAAUGUACCCAACAUUGGUUGGUAAAAUUAACAAAAAAGGUGCCCAGCAUUCCCCAACACGUAGUCGUAUAACCCUAAACUCUUCCUAUCCUAUGACAUGCCAGUUAUGCCCGACCUUGCCCUAAGAAUUAAUAGGCUAACUAUUUCUCACAUAUAUUUUUAGUGAAUUCUCAUUUCAUUAUCAUAACCUCAUGCCACUUAUAAUCGGAUCAAAAUAAAAGAAUAGCUAAUGAAAGAGUUGCUAGAUAGUGUGAUCUCCAAGGAAGUUCCAAUUCUGACAAUCUAUAAGGAAAAAAACCAAAUAAAGUAAGCUUACGUAAAACUUAGUAGCAUCGUAAAAAAAUUCAUGUACCUGUGAAUUUAAUUUAGAAAUCAUAUUUAUAAUAUAGAACUAGCCAACCUUUGCCUUGUUCCAUCAUUCCAACUAUGCGAAAUGAUUAAACCUGAAUCGUUUACAUCAUCAAUACAUAACAUGUUAAGAUUCACAUACCAAAGAUAUAAUCAACCAAAUAUAAUUUAACAUAUCAUCUUAUUUCAUUUAGAUUUCUAUAGUUAAUUGUUUUGCCCAGAGGAAAAUAGGAAAUUGAAUUCAUAUACAUGAAGGGUAAUGCUCACAUAAGCUGACAAAAGGACAUUACCUGAUACACGAUACUGCUCACACAAGCUUCAUAGAAUCCGUACCUCAUGUAGUAUCUCAAGCCAUUGUUAUGGAAUCCAUCAUCGUGACAUAAUACCUAUAACACUCUAUACCCAGCCUGGUCGCCGAGCCUGAGUAAUAGGAUGCUACACCACCAUCUCAUCAUCACCAAAGCAUGAAACGUCUCAUUGACAUGUGUUUAACAUCAUAAUCAAAUAACUACAUAAGGUUUAACUCUAAUCUUCCCUAGAUGGUGUUAAAAAUUGGCUAAACAUGCGAUAAUCGUCCCUAUAACAAGUCAAAAACAUGCUUAAAGUCCAAUUAACAAAAAAAUCUAAAAUAUCACGUAAGUUUCGAUACUCAUUCGAUGGUAUCAAUAUUUCUCAUAUAUGGUAUCGAUACUGAUAAGAAAAUCGGUACCAAAAUAGCAUUCUAUUUUCGUGCAAAAAGUAAAACCAACAAACUAAUGAUACCCUAUCAAAAAGUAUCGGUAUUGUUACCCCGAGUACUUAUACUCGAAAGAUGGUAUCGAUACCAAAUUGAGUUACUAACUUCCUGCACAUUCGAAAUAUCAUGGAGGCAUCGAUACUAAAUAGCCAAUUAUCAAUACAUCUACAUGAAAUAGAAAAAGAAAAGAAAAAAAAACUAAAACAGGGCAUCUAUCUCAAUCAAACAUAUACCAUUUCAACAAGUUUAUAAAACCUCAGUAUUCAUCAUCAACACAUCCAUAUUUGUAAUUCAAUACGUCAUCAAUAAUUUACACUAAGUACACCAAUGAACUAACAUCAAGCGUCAAUUAAUUCUAUGAGUAACAAAAUCAAGCAAUCGUUUAAAACAUCAUGGCAGUAGUCAACCAACAAUCUACCAUAUUGCCUUAUUCCCACAGUUUAAAAUAAUAGCAAUAAUAUCACCUACUCAAUCACUAAGCAUAACUUGGAUAACUUUCUUAGAAUUUCUGCACCGCUCACACCGCAAACACUAAAUAUCUAUAAUGGAUAGAAAGAAAGGGUGAGCUUAAACAAGCUUAGUGAAUGUCAAAAUAACCAUAAAGUAUACACAACAUCAAAAGUGAGACAUGAGCAUACUACAACACAUUCACAACCAUAUUCUAACCAAGUCAGAAUAACAUAUUCACGCUUCAUUAAAUCAUGAAUCUAGCAUAUACUCUCACAUGCAAUUACACUCAACUCGUAUAUAUAUAAUUCAUUUAACGAUAAUUUAUCAAGACAAAACAACGUAUUAAUGCUUUAAUAGCCCACAAAUCUAGGUUAUAUAUACACAUGCAUUUACACAAAACAUUUUCAUAUAUUAAACACUUUAUGAUAAUUUGAUAGUUUGGAAACAUGAAACAUAAAAGUGAGCUCUAUCACCACAUAUUGGAUACAUGAAUCUCCAUUAUAUCAAUUACUCAAAGAGGCUAACAUAUCCUAAAAGUGUAGCAUAAAGCUUAACCUCCAACACACCAAUAUAUCCCAAUGAAUGGAGCUUAGCUCGACAUUUUCUUAUCUUUUUUAACUGUCCUAGGGACUCAUUGCGCAAAACAAAAAACACAAAGGUGAGUACUCACAAUUCUAUGGCACGCCAACUAUAUCCAACAAUUUCAAAAGAUCACAAGACCAAAAUUUUCACAAAUACACACAUUUAAUUACUGAUUUAAUGCACAUAAUCUCUGUUCAUAAUCAUCAAUGCAUAUUAUAAAUUUGUUCACAGUUCAUGCUUAUCAGAUUCACAUUUAAUUACACUUUAAGUGCCACAACUAUGCUCAUUGAGACAUCAUAUAUUCAUCCAUAUAGGUGUACAUUAAAAUCAUAGUUUAUUAGCAUCACAUUCCACAAUUCACACAUAUGUACUUAUCAUUUUUUGCACACUUUCACUGUAUAUUUUUAUUGCUAACACAACAUUAUCACUGUCACUUGGCAUGUUUAAUAUGCCCACAACUAACACAUUCACAAGAGCUAUCACAAUAUAUAUAUCACAUGUCACAUUAUCACAACUUAAUACUCAAUCCACAUCACACAAUCACAUACUUUGCAAAUUAAACGGGGGUAUAAGAAAGCUUACACUCGAAACUUAGGAUAGGGGUUUAGGCUACUCUUAGGCUCCCAAUGAACAAUAUGAAUCGUGUCUACUAGCAGCAAUUCCACAUACACACUGUUCACGCUUUCGCCUAAUUGCCGAAAGCUUAAACUAGCUUUUCUUUGCCUUUCGCCUUCUCGUAGAAGGCUCCAAUAGUUUCGAUUCUUUACACAUAACAAACACACAAUAUAUACAAUUAAUUAACAGCCAUAACACACCUUAAACUUACAAAAACACAGGUCUAAGGCUAGUUUCUCUUGGAACUGAAAUUUUUGACUAACAAACUUGAAACUCAAAUAUCUUAAUCUUUACUAAUUCCCAUUGUCUAUAAUUGAUUCCAAUCAUCUAAUUAUAUAUCUAAGAAUAAUUACUAACCUUCAAACUAUACAGAUUCAUGGUUCCAAAACUUCUACAUAAAAUAGCCAUUUUUCAUAAAAACUCAUUAAAAUCUUAGAAUUCUUUAACGAAACUUUAAGGAGUGUUUAAAAACCUUCUAAUCACAUCAAAACUAAUUCAAAAACACUUUGAAAACUCAUUUUUAUUCAAAAUCCCCAAAUCCACCAUUAAUGACCCAAUUUUCGACAUUUAUUCAAAACAUUUGAUUCAAUAGGUAAAAACUCUAUUUUAAAGGCUCGGUAAAAUUAAAAAAUAAUAAGAAAUCAAAACAUUACCUUCGUUGAAGGAGAAUCAAACAUUUGAUUAAAAACCAGAAAAAACUCACUUGAAGAAAAAUCAGUGGAUUUAAUGGUGUUUUUUGUGUCUUUCUUUGAAUUCAAAGGGGUUUAUAUGUUUGAAGGAUAAUAGAAAACAAGAGAUUGGAGUAAUAGAUGCCAAAAAAUGAAGGAUGAAAUUUUGGGGUUUUCAUCUUUAAUGGACGACACAAAGAAAAUGGAUGAAGGGAUUUCUUUCUAUUUUUUUCAUUCACGUCAAAAGUAGGUUUAAAAGGGAAAAAUGGCCUGAUUUUAAAACUUCGUUUGUUUAUUUUAAAACUACUCUUAAUUUAACCAUUUUACAAAACAGUCCUCUUUCAAAAAAUUAAAGUUCUUUCCUACCUUAUUUUGAAAAAUUGAUUCAAUUUUCAAAAAGCUAUAGUCAAAAAUAAUUUCGGGUUACCAUAUUUCAAAAUUUCUAAACCCAUUUCAAGCCAAAUCCCUAAUUUAUCUUCAAAACUUCUUGGCCCAAUUUUGGGGUGUGACAACCUACUAAAUAUAACAACGGUACAAAGUGCCUGCUACUACAACACUGGUACAAAGUACCUGCUACUAAAAUCACCUGCAACUAGUGCUUGGUAAAUAUAACACUGACACAGAGUGCUUGCUACGCCCUAAUGACAUGUCAUUUUUAUCCUAGUUAUUCACUGAGUUCACACGAGAUUAACCUAUAUACCUUGAUCCUUUCAUGAUAUUAACCAUAUACCAAGAUUCAUUUGGUACCAACUUCCCAUAGCAUAACAUGUUUCAAAUCGAACAAAUACAAAGCCAUAUUUUUCCUUUCAAGUCUUUGAUCACAUUUACAACUUACCUUUAUCUACCAUGUUUGUUAUACACAUAUACACAAACAAUUAUAUACAACUAUGAUUUCAACAUUAAUAAACAUAAGAACAUCUAAUACAAACUUACUAAAAAGCUGUAGUUACCAACACUUCGACGAUGAUUAUUCAACUACUUUUCCUUUCCUACGAUUAUCAACCAAUUGAUCUGUUUCAUGAUCUAAUAUAAUAAUUUAAUUCAAUUAACCAAUUCAAAUGCCUUAAAACACUUAAAUUCACAUAUUUGACAAUUUAUCAACAUUUUAUACUUUUACCCUAAACUUUUACCUUUUAUUCAUUUUAGACCCUAAACCCGAAACUUACAACAUUGCUUUAGAAAAAUAAUUUUGAAUACCUUCUUAGCAAUGGAAAAAUAUCAUUACUAGUACAAUUAUUAACUUAGCCAUGUAUCAUGCAUAGUCCAAUUUCAAUAUGCAAGAUCCGUAAAACUGAGCCAAGUAUGAGUGUCAUACAUGCAUGCUAAUCCCCAAAACACAAACAAUUCAGAACCACAAUUUUACAAUCCAAAAACUGAAUAACAAAAAUAAUGAGAAAAUAAACCAAAAAUAAAAUUAAAGUAAAGUAAUAUGAUGAAAUUGAGUCUGAAGUUCGUCGUACGUCCACAUGCCAAUUCCAAUCCUAAAGUCAUUCAAUACCUGAGAAGUUAAGGUAAUGGGGUGAGCUUAACAAGCUCAGUGUGAGACUAAACAAACAUGUAUUAGGCAUUCAUUCAAGCAAUUUUAUAGAGAUACCCAUAACACAUUCAAACAUUACCAAUGACAAUUUAAAUGCACAAGAUUGUGACAAAUGCACAUGUGAGAUCCUACCCAUACCACCCACUACACACCAUGAGCUCCUUAAAACCCGUCUGCCAAAAUCCAACAAAUGCGAGCAUAGCGCGAUGUUGAAAAACCACCAAUAAUCAAUAAUGUAGAAAAUCUGUCGAAUAUCAAAUAGUGUGAUACAAUUGGCAAUAACAUAUAAUAUGCGAUAAAAUUGCCAAUCCCCUCAGUACUCCAAAUACAGUGCACUGACUACGAAUAUAUGCGGACUUAAUAUGUCAUCAAUACUCCAUGGAACUCCUCCGUCAACCACAAAAUAUCCUAACCCAAUGCAUAUGCAAUAUGUAACACAAACUCAUACAUAUUCAUAUUUCAAUACUUUUCAUAUUUAUUUGACAUGUUCAACAUGUCCUCAAUAAUCACAUAUUUUUAUUAAAAGGAAACAGUGAUCCAACUUUCAAAUUACCAUCAAGAUGUUAUUUAUCAAUAUCAUUCAAUUCACAUACUUUACGAAUUUCAUUGUGCAUAAAUAACAACCUGAUGAAUAUACAUCAAAGAAAAUAUUUCAUGCAUUUAAAUCAUGCAUAAACCUAAUAUCUCAAUAAUUCAUACCAUUCAUUCAAACAUUCUCAUAUCACAUAAUACAAUUAUGCAUAACAAUAAACUAGCAAUUUUGCCAACACAUUAAUCUUUUAAGGCUCAAAAUGUACCUAAUUUGGCCACUCAAAAAACUUAUAUUUUGGCUAUUAGGCCAAUCCAAUCAGCAAGAUAAUUUACCAAAUAUAACAUGAAAUUUAUCAUUAUCAAACAAAUUUACAAGUUUAGGACCCACACCUUAUUUCUUGCUUCCUCGUAGCACACUAGUGAAUCUUCCAAUUUUCCUUAAUAAGUUCUUAUACAAACCUAAACCAAAAUUCAGUAUAAAUUCAUUGGAUUUACCUUUGAACCAGCCCCCAAAUACCCACUUAUGGGUUCAAACCAAUUGUCAAAAUUAUAACUAUUUUAUGAAUCGAAACUAGCUAGAUUUCUUACACUGUUUUGAUGUGAAUCGUAUGUGCGAUCGUUCUUUGGCUUUACGGAUGAUUUGGGACGUUUGUGACAGCACCUAAUUCAAUAAUAUACUUGAAAAUAGGUAGCUAAUAAUGAUUAAAUUCCUUCAUACAAUCAAUCCAUAACCCUUACCCCACAACUAUGUCGAAACAAAAAACUAGUUUACGCUUAAUUACACUUACGCUUCCCAAUUUGUGGUUCCGAAUGAACAAUCGAUCAAGAAAGUUUUCCCAAAUUUACAUGGGUUUAAAGGAUGAUUAAAAGGUUCAAGAACUAAAAUUUAGGCUAAAAAUAAAUGGUUAAGAUUCAAGAAACAAAACAACCCCCUUUUCUACACAUAUGCGCAUGCACCACCACCCAUGCUGGCUAGAAUUGGGGCUGAAUUUUAAAAUGAUUUGAGAUCUAAUUAAAAGCUAGAAAAUACCUAAAUUAAAAAUUCCCCAAAUUUUAGAUAUGGAAAUUUAGGUUUUUAACUUGCAAUAUUACCCAUGAAAUUAAAAGAGAAAGAGGUCUUACACGAGCUAAUGGAGAUGUGCAGCAAUGGCAUUUUCUUUGCAAGGUUGGAGUUGAUCUUAGAGAUUCAAGAUUUCAGUUUCGAGGCUACUCUAAUUGAAGAAAAAUGGAAGAAAGGUGGGGAUGAAGAUGAUGCUCAAUCUUGAAAACAAAAGAAAGAAGAAUCAAAAGUUAAUGAUGGUGAUAGUUGUGACGGAAACAAUGGUAGGAGAAGGAGAAAAGAAAAAAAAAAGAUCAAGAGAGGGAGAGGAGGUUAGGGACGGAUAAGGUAGGAGAAAAGAGAGUUAAAGGUUGAUUAUUUUGAGUAAAUUUUUUUUAUAUACUUGUGUUUACUAGGCUUGGACAGCAACCCAUUAAAAAACAAGGGAAUUUUGCAAAAAAAUUUUUUUUCCAAGAGAUGAGACAUGAACUUGGGACCUCCAACUAAAUUUCAUGCUUCCAUAUUUAAUGCCCAACCAUUGGGCCAAUUCCUUUAUUUUUUAUGUACUUAUACAUUUUUAUUGAGCUAAAUUUUGGGAUGUUACAAAGGAAGCUCUGCAUGUUGUAACAAAGGCGUGAUCUAAGCCUGGUGGUGGAGAAAAUUUAGAAACUAGUAAGUUUCCUUAUCGUCCUCUGUGUUUAAGAAUUGAGGAAAGAAGUAGAAUAAGACUCUCAAAGCUUUUGUAUAAUUUAAGAUUUUGGGUUUUUAAGAAUUUACCUUCAUUCAUUUAACCACAACAGGGUUGUCAUGCUUAGCCGCCUGGACAAAAGAGGUUCUUUAUUUGGAUUAGCUAAGCUAUCAAGAAUUUACCUCCAUUGUUUUAAACACAACAGGGUUGUCAAAGCUUAGAUGAUUGUUGAAUGAAUAUUUGGUAUAGUACAUUUCUUAAUGAUGUUCUACAUGGUGUGUAUGAUUAGAGCAUGUAUAAUAUGAAAUGGGUGACUAACUAUGGGUUAGGCAAAGUUAGGAAUGAGAAAAGGGGAUGGAUUUGUUAGCUACCACCAUACUGUUUUACUAAGUGUAAACCGUGAUUUGCAAAACCCCGGGCCUUGCAAAGGGAACACUGAAGUGUUCGAGCAUCAAUGCUUAGGAUGGUAAAAUAGAGGAAUGGAUGGAAUAAAAUGGGAAGAGCAAAGAUCAUGGGUAGGCCACGAGACCGAUCAGAUGCUAUACACCUAAAUUGAGUAAGACAAUAGUUGAAAGACACUAUGGUAUCAAGAUAAAGAUGACUAAGACCAUGGCUAAAAGUUGCUACGGCAUUAUGGUAAACAAGACUAAGACCAUAGCUAAAAGACGCUAUGGCAUCCUUUGACAGUCCGCCAGGACAGUAAAUGCUGGAGAACAUAAGGUGUAAGACUAUAGCUGGACUAUGGCUUCUAGUGUAGUCUACCGGAAAGUUAAACACGGGGUUGUAAUGUGUACGACCCUAGUUCAAAGACGCUAUGCCAUCAUAGAUAGUUUGACAGGAUGAGAAACAUAGGAUAGUCCAUCAGGAUAGAAAUCACGGUAUGGUCCGUUGGGACUAUAGAUGAGGGAAAUCCUCUAGAAAGUUAGACAUGGGAAUCACACUAAAAAAAUCCACUGUUUAGGAAUAAUGUCAAGGGUGAGAGUAGAUAUCACAUUGUGCAUAGAAUGACAAGUCAUAAGAAUAGAUGCAUUGGUGCCUCGAAGGAACAUAGACUACUGGAUGAAUGGGGGUGUUAGGGAUGUGUCUUCACACUCAACAAAGUGAAAAGGGAAAGGAAUAUCCUCGGAUAAUGAGGUAAACAUGGUACCUAUAAAUACUAGCCCGCCAAGAAAAUUACAAAAUUUUUGUAUGAUUUAAAUUGGUAAAAAAAGAUCAAUAGUGGGACGUUACUAUAUUUUGUAACACGAUAAAAUGAUUAGUAAAAAUAUUUAAUAAGCUAAUCAAAAUUCUCAACGGGAGAAAUGUAUGUUCAAGCCAAAUGGUUAGAAAAUUCUACCAAGGAAUAAUGGAAGCGGAGGUCAAAUAUAGCCAUGGGGAAUGACAGACAUUUUGUGGAGCUUUCACAAGAUGGAAUUGCAUGUUCUAAAAGGCCUCCAUAAGAAAUAGAUCGAUAGAGUAAGGGAAUUCCGAUACUUGUAGUGAACUUUAGUGCCUUAAAGCAGUAAAGACCAUAAAAUGGGGGACAAGUCCACAAAGUUCGAAGUUGCUUGGGUAGUUGCCCAGUGUCGCCCGCUCGGGAUACUAAAUGCAAAUACCAAGAAGUUGAAUAUUUGAGUUGGAAACUUUGCACUUUUCUUAUAUUUUGUAUGCUAUUCUCACUAAGUUCUUUAGAACGUAUAAGUUUUCUACUCAAAUAUAGGCUAUCUAAAGAUUUAGACAUUGCAUAGGACCAAGCAAGAGUUCAUUAGGAGUGAGGCAAAAUGCGAAAGCUUGCAUGUGUACAAAAAGGCACCCGUAGAGGCUCUGCCUCUAGGGCUUAAUGGUCAUUUUAUGUUUUUGAGUUUUAGUCCAAAAACUUUGUAAUUUAGUAAUGAAAAUGAACAUCUAAAGUUUUAUCAUUAGUUGGUAUAAUUUGAUUAAGUAAUUUAAUUUCAUAAAGGAAAUUAGUUAAGAAAUUUCGGUUAUUGUGGCAUCCAAUACUCGAACUCGAUGAACAGGUUGAGCAAUAGGGUUACAAUUUAGUGGUAUUAGAACUUUAAUUUAGCUGAUCCUCUCGAUGUAGGUGUUACGAGAUAGCCCUUGUACACAUGCUUGCAUUAUAUCUAGCUUAGUCAUUCGAAUGGGGAUAGGCGAUGGUAAGCAUGACAAGGAUAAGUACAAAGUUUAGCGAAUUAUAGUCAGAAUGAUGAAAAAUAUAAAAUAUAAAAAGAAAGAGAAUGAAAAUUUAUUUUGAUAGGGAAAACUAGUACAAAUGCCAAAAGGCAAUACGAUAUCCUUCUCAAAAAGCAGAUUAGUUGUAUCUUCUAUGUUUUUCUCCCCUCAUCAAUAGCCUUUUUCGAUUGAAACAAGAAUAGAGAGCUUAAGAUCUAGUGGGAAAAAGAAACCACCAUAAUUUUUCCAUUUCUUCUAAAACUCUUCCCACUUGAUGCUAGAAGGAUUCAUUUCAUUAAAUCUCGAGUUCUCGUUAAUGGCGCAGAUAGCUGAAGUCCACUUAACUCUAAUCAAAGAGGCCCACACCAGUCAUUGCUUUGUAUUGCUCCAAGGCUUCAUUGUCUUCCUUUUAGGCCCUCUUCGGAUCUACCAAGUUGCACUCCUCUUGCACCUUCAUUUGGUCAUGCAUUUUAUGGACCCUAUUCUCAAGCUCCUUUUUUAAAGAAUUGAAUUAAGACUCCUAGCUAGAGGUAUAUUCAGCGAUCUCCUGAGCCUGAUGAGAUGCGACCUCCUACGCCUGGUGAAAUUGAACUAGUUUUUGAUUUUGAGAGGCUAGGGUCACCUCCAUUGAGCUUUCUUUGUCUCAUUCUUGUGACAACGAUCAUGGAGGGCCCAGGAAAACAAUCCAGAUUCCUCUACCAUGAUUUGGUAGGAGUCUAGCAACUUUGAGAGAGUUGGUUUACGAGCUUUAGAGGAAGAAAGGAGAGUAUAUUCUUUCAGUUCCUGGGAUAGGUCCCUCUCCCAACAUUGGCUAAUUCCAAUUGGGGAGAAAGUAAGAUAACCUACAGAAAAAUGGCCUCACUAAGGGAGUAGACUUGACAUCCUGCUAAAAGAACUGGGAUAUUACCUUGGCCCAAGAUGAAGAGAUGGCAGUGUAGAAUGGGCAGUUCGAGGGGUGGACUCAUUAGGCGAAGUAAUGUCCAUAGGAGUAAUGGACCCAAUUUGAGUCUUUGGAUGAGACGAGAGGAUAAGAAAAGUAAGCUCCCCCUCGAAAUUGAUUGGUCUUUUACCCCGCUUGCUACGAACCAGCCUACUACCACUGCUUUCUUCGGUACUUCGAGAUUUUCUUUUAUUUCUCGGCCUCUUAGGGCUGCUACCAACCACCUGCAUCAUUCUGUCGGCAUUGGCGAUGAACUUCUGUGAUUUCUCCACAAUGACUUCACGUCCAUACUGUUCAAGGUUUGAGAUAGGGUGAAUGAUUGGGCAGAAUUUGCAAAUAAAAUAUUAGAUAUCAAUCAUACGAGGAAUAAAAUCUUUACUUAGGAAACUUACCAACAACUAUUGUUGGUAGAUUGGACCAAUGAUGCACGUGUUUCCAACAAUAAGCAUAAAAUAAAUGAGGAGGUUCUUCCUUCUUCACAACUAAAAUAGCAGCUAGAUCAUCAACAGCAAUGUAAGGACACACCUUGUCAGAGGGGUGUGCACGUCGAGAGAUAGUCUCAACACCAGAAUCCAAGGGUUUGUAACCAUUUGAGCCAUGGUUCUUUAGAUAGAAUUAAAAGGCGGUUCUAACAAUAAUAAGGUUCUCUAAUAUGAGAGAGAGAUGUCUGACUUCAAGCGAUUGAAUUGAUCCUCCGCAGCCUCAUUGUAUAGUUGUUGUUUACAGGUACAGUUAGAUUCAGGAGGAAUAAACCAUUGGGUAUCCGCUUCUUAGAUUACACCUCGCCUAGAUGAAUUUAUUUCUGUUGAGGUGAAGGUCAGAAGCUUAGUUUUUUAUAAUGGACUCACACCUUAGAGGGUGCUAAAGUGGGUCAACCUACUAGAAGACCCACGAGAAGUCAUCUUUAAUUAGUAGAUUCUUUGGAUAAAGCCAAGGAUGGGUAGCUCACCCUUCAAAUUGCAGUCGAUAUAGUAGGCCAUUAAGGUCCACCAAAAUAAGCUGGCGAGUUGCCCCAGUGCAACCCCAUGCUCGUUAAUGACAGGGCAAAAUAAAGGAUUUAAUGGGAGAUGGAACCUAACUUCGAACAGUUAGAGAAGAAUGAGGAUAUGGUUGGAAUGAUAGCUUAAUCGACACUCACCUAGGACAAGACUGAAAUCGUAGGUGAAGUUGGGAAGUUAAAUCCCUCUAACACCUAGGAAAGGGACCAUUUCCCCAUGAUUUAUGGUGCAGUGAAACAGAGGGAUCUCCACUAGGGUACUUACCCCGUAACCACUGGGUCCGACCCCAUCACCUUCCCUGUCACCACUGCAAUUUUUCAUGCUACCACCACUACAAUGGCUAAUACCCUCACGAUGACUCUGUUUAAUUCUUACCAUUUAGGGGGGAAGAUGAAAGAAGCAGAAAAGGAUUAGGAAAUUACCUGAUAGACUUGCUGAAAAUUGAUCAGAGAUAAAAGAAAAAGGAACCUAGAUGAAUGAGCAAUAAAGGCUAAGGGGGAAACUAGGGAUUUGGAAGGAAACUUAGUUGGUAAGGAAUUGAAGAGUAAGUUUUGAUGAAAGGCCUCUUUUCCUAAUACCUUGAUUUAAGUAGCCAAACGUCUAAGGGAAGUUUGGAAAAUUUUUAGAAUAAACUAUUUAAAUCCUCGAACCCAUAGAUGACACAUGUUGAGCAGAAGAAAGCUUUUUCUUAAACCCCUCGAUAACCAGAAAAGUGAAAGCGUCCUCCAAAGUUGAUCGUUUAUCAAGUAUUUGUCAUAUGACCCAUUUUAACUUUGAAAGUUAUCUAAUUGUGUUGUGCGAAGAUAUGACUGGCUAAUGGUAUAAGUAAGAAUCCUUCAGAAUUGGUACAAAAUGGUCCUUGUGCCAUAAAAUUCCUUAAGUGUUAGGGUAGAGUUGUCGGUGAGCAAGAUGAGACCUAAACAAAAUUUAGGGCAAUAAAGUAGCAACGUGUCCCCAAGAAAGACGAAAGUAACUGCCCUUAGGUAUGCAAAGAAUUUCCUAAGACAAGAGAAGAUAGAGUGGACAUUACCAUGGGAAACUUAGGUAAGAAAGGAAAUUUCAAAGAUGAAAUUUUCUUCAAGGGUGGGGGAGUUGUCACACUCGGUUACCAUAAUUGACCCAAAAAUUCAAGAAAGCUAGGAUUAAAUUGAAAAUACUAGCGAAUUAUCAAAAUCUGUUGGGAAAUUAGGAAAAUCCUAGGGACUGAAUUGUGAAUAGUUGGAUUCCAAUUCCAUUUCUAUUAGACGAGAACCAACUGGUUCCAAAGUUAUAGACAAAAUGAUUAGGAAUGGAUGGUGGGAAGGGGCGGUAAAGACUGUGCCCAAGGAGUAUAAUAUGGGCGAGAGUGGAGACAGAAUUCAAUGAAUUUGUUUGUAAGUCUUCACCUCCCUCUAGCAUAAUCUUUUUCAGUCAUUCUAAAGAAAAAGGGAAUACAGAUGAAAGAAGCUAUGUAUGUCGUAACAAAGGCAUGAAUCAAAGCCUGGUGGUGGGCAAUUUGAUGAAUUAGUAAGUUUCCUUAUCUUCCUCUCUGUUUAGGAAGUGAGGAAAGAAGUAAAAUAAGACUCACAAAUCUUUUGUAUAAUUUAAGAUUUUGGGUUUCUAAAAAUUUUCCACCAUUGGUUUAACCGCAACAGGGUUGUCAUGCUUAGCCGUCAGGACAAAAGAGGCUCUAGCAUUUGGAUUAGCUAAGCUAUCAAGGAUGAGAAAACAAGGUGAGUGACUCCACUUUGUCAUCUGGUUGUUAUAUGUAAUUAUGAGAAAUUACCAUGUUAAUGCUAAUAGUAAGAGUAGAUGAUUGUUGAAUGAAUAUUUAUCAUAGUACAUUGCUUAAUGAUGUUUUUCAUGGUAUGUAUGAUUAGAGCAUGCAUAAUAUGGAAGGGGUGACUAACUAUGGGUUAGGCGAAGUUAGGAAUGGGAAAAGGGGAUGGAUUUUUUAGAUACCACCAUAUGGUCUUGCUGAGUGCAAACCAUGAUGUGUGAAGCUCCAAGCCUUGAAGAAGGACCAUUGUGGUGUUCGAGCAUGAUGGUAUAGGAUGGUAAAAUGAAGGAAUGAAUGGAAUGAAUGGAAUGAAAUGGGAAAAGUAAAGGUCAUGGCUAGGCCAUGAUCCGGUCAGAGGCUAUACGCCUAAAUUGAGUAAGACCAUAGCUGAAAGAUGUUAUGGCAUCAAGAUAAAGAUGAGUAAGACCAUGGCUGAAAGAUGCUAUGACAUCAUGGUAAACAGGACUAAGACCAUAGCUGAAAGAUGUUAUGCCAUCCUUUGAUAGUCCUUUGGGACAAUAAACACGAGGUUGUAAUGUAUAAGACCCUAGUUGAAAGACGCUACAAUAUCAUAGAUAGUUCGUCGGGGCAAAAAUAAUGGUAUGGUCUGCCGGGACUAUAGAUGUGGGAAAUUGUUUAGAGAGUUUGUAACACCCUUAUCCCAUACCCGUCGCCAGAUUAGGGUUAUGAGGCAUUACCGACUAACAUAUAUCUCAGAUCAACUUCUAUCAUAAAUUAACCAAUAUAAUAUUAAAUCAACUAUCAUGCUUCAAUUUAAUAUUACAUAAGAUUAUAAAAUUAAAAUAAUCAAAUAAUAACAAGAAGGAAACAUACAACAUUUUUAAAAAAAAAAUCUUUUAUAACCUUUGAGCAAUAUAUGUGUACAAUUUUUUAUAAUUAUACAAGAAUCAUACGCAUACCAUAAGCAAGCAACCACGGAUUAUUAUUAUUUUUUACAAAUAAAUAGAUAGUCUAUAAUAGUCUUUAUUAAUCUGUUUAUGACGUUUUCAUAUCAUGAACAAAUAUUCAUAACAAUAGCUCAAACAAAUAACUACUUAAGUAAUCCAUAAUUAUUAUAGUAAUAUAUAUCAUGAGAGAUCGGUACAAAACCAUGUUUACCUUCCAUCUAAUUAACUAACAAAUAUUACCUUUGUCAAAACACAAGUAAAAAUAAACCUAACACAUGAAUAUAUAUUUUUCUUGAAAGCGUAUAUAUGCAUAUUACAAUGUCACGAUAUAAAUCCAAACAUUAUCCUGGCAACUAUGAAUUCACAAGGCAAGUCAUUUCAUCAUAAGAAAAAAUAGCUAUACAAGCAUGUACCGAAUCUUAAGUUAGCUAAAACCAUUUCAUGAAAACUUAUUUUAUAACCGACUAUACCUAUAUAUAUAUGAAAUAAUCGUCAAGACUAAUCAUGUAACAAAACAUACCUCACAAGUAUAAGUCUUUGACCACAUUUAAACCUAUACAAAAUAUAAAUCUUUCAUGCCGUAUAACGAACAUACCAAACAACAUAAUUCAUGUUCGAAUAUAACCAAUUAACAUUUAAUGCCAAACCACAUAAUAAAACUUACAUUGAGCAUAACUACCUAAUCCUCUUGGAUAUAUAUUAUCUUAUUAUGAAUCAUGUUUAAACAACCAAAUAUAUCUAGGUUUAUAUAUUACAGCCAACACAUUCAAACAUCAUCCAAGACUUUAACCAACUUAAAUGCACAACCAUGCACGUAUCGCAACAUUACUUUUUAAAGCGUAAAAUGCCAUAACUAAAAUAAACGCAAAACACAGGUAACCAUAACCGAUCCUAGGCAAGAUGGUUAAGCCAUUUUCACAUGGCAUAUAUAUAUACAUUCAUUUCCAAAAUAUUUAACCUCAAAACCAACCUAUACAUGCCAUAAUUUAAGUUUAGUUUAAGGUACAAAAUUUGUAGAUAGUGUGAUGAACUUGGUUGAUAAUCCCCGAGCUUGCAGCUUGACUUCAAAAUCUAUAAAACAGAGUAACGUAAUACACAAAGUAAGCUACCACAACUUAGUAAGUCAUAAGCAAUAAACAACUCAAUAACACAUUUGAUCCAUGUCAACUAAAUGAAAUGCAUUAACAUUAUUAACCACCUAAGACGAAUACAUAUACUAUCAUUUAAUACAAUAUAAAUCAACUUCCAAACUAGUAGCCAAAAUAACCACACAUCCAUUUACUCUUUUAUGCAACUUAAGAAUCAUCAAAUGUCAUCCCAUGUAUAAAUAAUACCUAGGAAGCCGAAUACACAAAUUAUAUGUACACAUGUUAAGUUACAUUUCAGUACUACACAAAUUGUUCAUUCAUACGCUGAAUACACAUAUCCAAAUACACAUGGAAUCCUCAUUUGCAUUGUACAAGAUUUACAACACAUAACUAUAGUACUUUCUUACCUUAUCUUAAGUAGACAUCAAGUUAACUCAUACUUGAUCAUUUAGCUCGUAAUAUACAAUCCAUACGCAGUUUACCUUUUCCCGAUAAACCAUUAGGAAUUGGUUAGGAAACUCGGAUAAUCACAUAAAUCGUACAAUGCCAACGUCACAAACGUGGUCUUACAUGUAGCCACAAAUCGAUGCCAUUGUCCCAGAUAGGGUCUUACUCAUAAACACAUAUCGAAACCACAAAUCCAUGCCAUGGACUUACUCGCACACACAUAUCGGAAUCCUAUGUCAUGACAUAUGUAUCCUAGCUAUUCCUAAGGUUCAUACAGGGCUUUCGAACGUCGUAACUCAAUCGGAAUGAACUUAGUAACGCAGUAACAAAACCUUUUUAUAUUCAGUUAUAUCAAACAUAAAUUCUCAUAUUUCAUAAAAGCAUGUAUAUUUUAUAUUUAGCUACAAUUAAACACGUCUAUUUGCUUAAAAACUUACCUCGGACGUCGUAAAACAGAACGGGGUUGCUAGUCGACAACUUUCAUUUUUCCCCGAUCCAAAUCUGAUUUCUUUGGUUCUUGAUAUAAACACAUUCAAAUUAAGCUAAUUCAACAUAUUUUCAUUCAAUUUAGUCCAAAAACACAUAAAUAGGAAAAUUACUAUUUUACCCCUGACAUUUACAAUUUUUACAAUGUAGUCCCUAUUGCAUAAAACACAAAAUACACCAAAUUUCUCCACACCCAAGCUAGGCUAAAUAUUACCCAUGUCUAUACAAGCCCAUAUAAUUCUUUAAUUUCACAUUUUAGUCCCUCAAAUUAUUAUUUUUUCAAUUAAGUCCUAAUUACUCGAAAUCAUAAAAAAUUUCAAUACAAAAUAUGUUAAUCUAAAACAUAUCUUUCAUUUUUCAUCAUCAAACAACAAAAAUCACAAGCUAUCAACAAUGGUACAACUCAAAAUAUUCAUCAAAAUCAAAAAUUCAAGCAUGGGUUUUUAAGAUUACUAAGCAACGAUCUCAAAAACGUAGAAAUUAUCAAAAACCGAAAAGAAUCUAACCUUGAUUGAGGUUUAAAAGUGCUGAACCCUAGCCUUUGUUUUUUUUUUCUAUUUCUUUGUCUUAUUUUCAGUGUAUGAACAAGGAAAAAUGAUAUGAAAUAAACUUAUUUUAUGUUUAUUAUAUGAUAGUUUAUAAUAUAUUAUUUCAUUUCCAAAUUUAACCUUAAUUAUAACAUUAUAUUAUUUCAUUUAAAUGUCCUUAGCCGUCCAACAGUAUAUAUAUUGGGCUAAUUUCAUCAUAACUACUCUCAUUUAGAAAGCCAUCUACAAUUAAUCCCUUUACAAAAUAAACUACCCACUUUUCAAUUUACACGAUUAAGUCCUUUUAUUUAAUCGGACACAUAAACGAUAAAAUUAAAUUACGAAAAUUUCACAGAUAUAAAUUCACACAAAAUAAACACAAAAAAUAAUUUUUAAAUAUUUUUCUGACUCAGAUUCGUGGUCCCGAAACCACUGUUCCAAUUAGGGUCUAAAUAGAGCUGUUACAGAGUUAGACAUGGGAAUCAUAAUUAAAAAAAUCCAUUGUUUACCAAAAAUGUCAGGGGUGAGAGUAGAUAUUGCAUUGUACAUGGAAUGAUAAGUAAUAAGAAGAGAUGAGUUGGUGCGUCUAAGGAACAUAGACCACUGGAUGAAUGAGGAGUGCUGAGGAUGUGUCUCUACACCUGAUAGAGUGAAAAAGGAAACGAAACUCUUUGACUAAGAAGGUAAACAUGGUACCUGUAAAUACCAGCCCGCCAAGAAAACUAUGAAAUUAUCGCAUGAUUUAAAUAGCAGAGAACAAUUUCGUAUUUUGUAAGAUGAUAAAAAAAUUACUUGAAGUAUUUAAUAAGCUUAUUAGAAUUCUCAAAGGAAGAAACAUAUGUUCAAGGCCAAAUGGCUAGCAAAGUCCGUCAAAGAAUAAUGGAUGCGGAGGUUAGAUAUAGCCAUCGAGAAUGGCAGGGAUUUUGUGGAGCUUUCACAAGACAGAACUACAUGUUCUAAGAAGCCUAUGUAAGAAAUAGAUCGACAGUGAAAAGGAAAUCCAGUACUAGUAGUGAACGUUAGUGCUCUAAGCAACGAGGACCAUAAAAUAAAGGAAAUGCCCACAAACUUUGAAGCUGCUUGGGUAGUUUCCCAACGUUGCUCGCCCAGGAUAGUAAAUGCAAAUACUAGAGAGUUGAAUUUUUGAGUUGGAUGUUUUGCACAUUUCUUAAAUUCUAUAUGUUGGUUAUGGGGUCGUUGAGAGCACCAAAAAUAUCCUACCCCUAUAAAAUGUUGAAAAUAAUAAAAAUAAUAGUAUAAGGGAAAUAGGAUCAAAUCCUCAAGGACUGGAUUUGCACAAUUGCUUGUUCCUCGAAAUCUUGGUCAAAAUCGUGCCCAAGAAAACUUGCGUACCCGGAAAAGAAAAAAAAUUAAAAGUUUUGAUCUAGAAAAAUUAAAUAAAAAUAGAAUUAAAAGUUUUUAUUGGAAUUUCGAAAAAUAAAAAUAAUAGAAAUAAAUAAAGUUGAGGAAAAUGUGUUCUUAUAGAGAGGUUCCAGCCUCCGGUUCUCUCGAUCCGCCUUGGGUUCAAUCCUUGGCUUUUAGGAGAUCCUUCUUAAAUAGAAUAAGCCAGUUAUAGUGGAAGAGGACGCCUAUGAUCACCAGCUCCAAGAAUUUAGACUUACAAUUUAGAAGAACCUAACUUUAGCCAACAAUCGUUUCUGUGGGAUCAUCUUAUGCUAGAUCAUCACUUCUCAAUGGCUAAUCUCAAGCCAUUUUAUCUCUUGGGCUGGCCAACCUCUGGCGCAGUAAGCUAACAAACCGACUGUGUAACCUUCUCAAAACAUACAAAGCGGUUGCCUUUGCACACAUUGAAAAGAUCACUUUUUAAGGGACAUGAACAGAAGCGUCAGCCCCGUAAUGCAGAGAAACGAUGAAUAUUCGUCGAGAAAGAUAAGUACGGAUUCUAUGCCUCAAGAACCCUUUUUUGGCGAAUUUUGACAACCUUCGGCUAGAUAGAUUUAGUGGCUCAUGAUUUUUAGGGAAAAACAAAUAAAUAUAAUGGAAAUAGAAUUUUUAUUAAAAUAUAAAAAGAACAAAAAUGGCUAAACUUUAUGGAGAGAAAGUGUUUACAGAAAAACAUCUGUCCAAUUUGUGUCAUUCCAUCCCCUAUUUAUAGUACCAAGAAACCUAGCAUAUUCCUAAUUAAAUUCUAUAAGAUAAAUACAAAUAAUUAAAGAUAAUUAAAAAUAAAUGAAAAUAAAUCCUAAAAUUAAAUCUAAAUAAUAAUCCUUAAUAAUUAUCCUAAUAUAAUUACACAUUAAAUAAAGUCUUGUGCUUAAAAUCUCUUCUUUUGCACUUUUGCCCUUAUGUCUUCCAUACUUGCAUUUUUGGCACCACCUUUUUCCCUAUGUCACAUGUUGGCCCAUUUUAUCUUUAAAUUUGCACUUUUUUCUUUAAAUUUUCUUUUUCCACCAAUUCAGUCCCUGAAAGAUAAAAGACCAUAAAUAGCUCAAAUUAGUAGGGUCAUACUCAAAAUAAACAUACAAUUAGCACAUAAAAUAUGAUGUUCUAAAGUAUUAUCAAAUUCCCCCUACUUAGCCCAUGCUUGCCCUCAAGUAUGGUUCCUAUCCACUGUGAAAUUUAGAAAUUGCCAUGAAAGAAGUACUACUCCAAAGUUUUAUAAAAAUUAGUCAAAAUGCAUAUGAAAAAUAAAGAGAACCCUUAGCUUGUUUUAAGUAAAAUUGAAAAUGUAUUCCAAUUAACACACAAAAAAUAAGAUCGACUUGGAUUAGUUCAUGAAAAUUAAGUAAUUUACCAAACUUACCAAGACACCCUAUUUUUUUCUACCUUUAGUCCUCAAAUUUUAUUAACACGCCUUUUUUUUAGUUAUUUAUUUAUUUAGUUUUGCUUAAGAAUAUAUUAAACCUUUUGACGUGAAGAGAGAUGACAGCCAAGCACCUCACCCUGGUUACUCAACCCAAUACACUCCUAAUUUUUAUUUUUCUUAAGAACAUAUCGAACCUUUUGACGCGAAGAGAGAUGACAACCCAAGCACCCUACCCCGGUUACUCAGCUAGUCACGUCUUAAACUGUACCCAUAACCACGAAAACAUUAUUAUUAUUAAACAAAAUUUUAAUUUUGGAGGACUUAGAAGCAACAAUUAAGUGUCAAAAAUAGUUUCAGCAACCACUUUAAUAGUCAUGAACAUAUUUUAAGCAUGCAAUUGUAUUAAGUGUCCUCUUUUCAUUUAGACUUAAUCAAUUAUACUAUAAGCAAGAUAGGGUUGACUUUAUCGAUCAUAAUUAUUUAUCCUAAAAGAAAUAAAACAAUGAAGAUGAAAUCAAAUAGGCAAAAUCAUAACUAACUCAGUAGACAAAAAGCAUACAUGUGGGUCAAACAGUGGGUAAGUCGUGAUCAAAUUCUUGGGCAUGAAAAGAGGUAGAAUAUUCUUAAAAAAAUUAUAUGGGUAGAAACAACCAAAGCGGCAGCAACAACAACAAAAACAGCAUCUAAAACGACAGAAAUAAUGAGAAAUGCCUCCCCCUACUUAAAACACAUAGUCCUCGAUGUGGAAUAAAUAAAUAUAUAGGCGGAAGAAAAGUUUAGAAGAACUCUCCAUGUAAUUACUGUCGUUCACGCAUAAUGGCAAUGAGUUCAGCUAGCUGCUGGCCAAAAGUGUUAAGUCGAGCCUCGAUGCGCACUAAGCGUUGCUUAACAGUCAUCGAAGGUUGGGUUGGAGUGGGUACUUCGUUCUGAUUUUAUUGUCGAAAGACUCAUUCAACCGGUGCGAAGCGAACGCCUGGAGGGACAAAAUGGAAGGAAGAUGGAGUGCUAAGAAGUAGUCCCAUCGAGUCGAGGCAUCGAGCAUCCAAAGGAUCAGCCUGACAAGCAACAUGCAAAUCUGAAAUAGGAGCAUUAGAACCAUGUAGAGAAAAUAACUGUUGUGUAAUAAAUAAGCCUAAAAUUAGAGGACGCUUUGCAUUUAUAACAUAUUUGAAUUGAAACGCAUACCAAUAACCGAAAUUUAUCGGACGACCGGUAUACAUAUACCAUAAUAAGAAUAAUUCUGUCUUCGACACGGUAGCUAGAGCAUCUCAACGGCCUGAAAAUUUGUAAGCCAAAUAACGGUGUAUGUAACAUAAGGCGGGGUUACGAAGCCAUAAAUCCUUUGAUGUUUUUGGGCUAUACAUGGAUUCGACACUAUCAGUUAACAAAGCGAAGGCCUCGAAAGCCUUAAAAUCUACAGGAAAAGUACAUAGGCUAUUUUUAUAAUUAGUGGACAUAGUAUAGUCCUCAGUCAUAAAAAACAAUGCAAUAUUAAAAUCCAUGAGGGAUAAACUAUGCAUGGUACCAAGUAACCGAAAUUUGACAACACUAGGUGUAUCCAAUGAUAUUUGACCGUGUCGCUAAAAACGGAAGGUUAGAAUAAAACUCUAAAACUAGUUGCAAGAUGUACAGCAUCCAAAACAGGUAAUGACAAACAUUUGCAGGGAAGUAUCUAUUUUUGUCCAAGUCGAUCAUACCUUUCCCGAUCGGUGGCAGAAGUAAAUGUCAGAUUACCGUGCAAUUAGCAUUCUAGUGGAAGGAUAUUGACGCGCGAUUGAUAGGUGCAGCCACGGGUAGGUAAUGGGCAUUGGUCGUCGUGACUCUCAGAGGGACCGUUGUACAUGUGCUGUUCGGCACUGUCGAAGUUGGAGUCGAUGGAGGAACCGACGACCGAAGAUGUUGGUUGGGUCGAAGGGCGUGGUGGCUGACGUCGAGAUUAGUAGCACGACAGCUCAGGCGUCGAACAAAGCGGCUGUAGUGAUGGGGGAAGGUGAAGAAUAAGGCCGCGUGAAAGGGAAGAAAAAGCGACGAAAGAAUGGCGUUGAGGAGAAGAGAGGGUGGGUACGUUACCGGUGAGCGGAGGAGUGGAAGAGUGUGUCGAUGUUACGAGAAGCGGAGAAGAAAAAUGGGAAAAGAGGAUGGCAUUCCGUACGGGUUGAGUGGAGAAGAGGAAGAGGAGGUUAAAGGCGUAGAAGUGGAGGAAGGGGAGGGAGUUUCGUGUGGCGGAAAAGAGGAGGGAAAGGGUGUGUUGUCGGGCAAAUCGAUGUGUCAGGGUGCCAAAAAUCGACGCUGAUGGCUGUUGACGGUAAAGGAAGGUUCAGCGACGGCUCAGCUUCAGGUUCUCACCAUGGUGGUUAGAGAUCAGCAAUAGAGGGGGUGGGGAAGGGUUUCAGCAGCUGAUGGAAUUUUUGGGAAAAAAUAGGUUGAAAUUUUUAGGUUUUGGGGUUUUAUUCGGCUGAAUGGGAGUGUUUGGCUGUAGGUUUUGGAUAGUCUAGGGUAAGAACACGCUAUUCCUGGCUAGAAUAGGAAUGGAAUAAAGGUUGUUUGGCUGCAGGUUUUGGAUAGUUUAUGGUAGGAACGUGCUAUUCUUGGCUGGAAUAAGGAUGGAAUGAGGGCUGUUUGGCUGCAAGUUUUUUGUUUCCCUCUUUUUUUUUCUCCCUAUUGUUGCUUCAGUUUACCUAGACAGAAGAAGAAAAUUUUAUCAACAUCCAAAAAUAAAAUAAAGUAAAAUUAAAUUAAAUUAAAUUAAUUAAAAUUAAUAAAUAAAAGUAAAAAUAAAAAUUGGGUUGCCUCCCAACAAGCGCUUAUUUAACGUCGUUAGCUCGAUGUCGUGAAAGGUUCUAUGGUGGUUCUAGAUGAAUCUUUUCAACCAUGUGGGCUUGAAAAUUCUCGUAAAACGGCUUCAAUCGUUGGCCAUUAACUAUGAACCGUUUUCCUGAUUCUUCACAUUCUAUUUCAACCGUACCAUGUGUAAAUACUUUGGUCACAAUAAAAGGUCCUUGCCGUCGAGAUCAAAGCUUACCUGGGAAUAACUUUAAUACGGAGUUAUAAAGCAAAACCUUUUGUCCUACCGAAAAAUGCUUCUAAACUAUUUUCUUAUCAUGAAACAGCUUUGUCUUGUCCUUAUAAAUGCGAGCAUUCUCGUAGGCAUCAUUACGAAUUUCCUCCAAUUCUUGAAUAUCUAAUUUCCUCGCCUUCCCUGUGGGUUCUAACUCCAUGUUACAUUGUCGAACAUCUCAAUAAGCUUUAUGUUCCAAUUCAACCAGAAGAUGGUAAGCUUUUCCAAAAAUAAGCUGAUAUGGGGUCAUGCUAAUUGGUCCUGGGAUAGGUCCCUCUCCCAACAUUGGCUAAUUCCAAUUGGGGAGAAAGUAAGAUAACCUACAGAAAAAUGGCCCCACCAAGGGAGUAGACUUGACAUCCUGCUAAAAGAACUGGGAUAUUACCUUGGCCUAAGAUGAAGAGAUGGCAGUGUAGAAUGGGCAGUUCGAGGGGUGGACUCAUUAGGCGAAGUAAUGUCCAUAGGAGUAAUGGACCCGGUUUGAGUCUUUGGAUGAGACGAGAGGAUAAGAAAAGUAAGCUCCCCCUCAAAAUUGAUUGGUCUUUUACCUCGCUUGCUACGAACCAGCCUACUACCACUGCUUUCUUCGGUACUUCGAGAUUUCCUUUUAUUCCUCGGCCUCUUAGGGCUGCUACCAACCACCUGCAUCAUUCUGUCGGCAUUGGCGAUGAACUUCUGUGAUUUCUCCACAAUGACUUCACGUCCAUACUGUUCAAGGUUUGAGAUAGGGUGAAUGAUUGGGCAGAAUUUUCAAAUAAAAUAUUAGAUAUCAAUAAUACGAGGAAUAAAAUCUUUACUUAAGAAACUUACCAACAACUAUUGUUGGUAGAUUGGACCAAUGAUGCACGUGUUGCCAACAAUAAGCAUAAAAUAAAUGAGGAGGUUCUUCCUUCUUCACAACUAAAAUAGCAGCUAGAUCAUCAACAGUAAUGUAAGGACACACCUUGUCAGAGGGGUGUGCACGUCGAGAGAUAGUCUCAACACCAGAAUCCAAAGGUUUGUAACCAUUUGAGCCAUGGUUCUUUAGAUAGAAUUAAAAGGCGGUUCUAACAAUAAUAAGGUUCUCUAAUAUGAGAGAGAGAUGUCUGACUUCAAGCGAUUGAAUUGAUCCUCCGCAGCCUCAUUGUAUAGUUGUUGUUUACAGGUACAGUUAGAUUCAGGAGGAAUAAACCAUUGGGUAUCCGCUUCUUAGAUUACACCUCGCCUAGAUGAAUUUAUUUCUGUUGAGGUGAAGGUCAGAAGCUUAGUUUUUUAUAAUGGACUCACACCUUAGAGGGUGCUAAAGUGGGUCAACCUACUAGAAGACCCACGAGAAGUCAUCUUUAAUUAGUAGAUUCUUUGGAUAAAGCCAAGGAUGGGUAGUUCACCCUUCAAAUUGCAGUCGAUAAAGUAGGCCAUUAAGGUCCACCAAAAUAAGCUGGCGAGUUGCCCCAGUGCAACCCCAUGCUCGUUAAUGACAGGGCAAAAUAAAGGAUUUAAUGGGAGAUGGAACCUAACUUCGAACAGUUAGAGAAGAAUGAGGAUAUGGUUGGAAUGAUAGCUUAAUCGACACUCACCUAGGACAAGACUGAAAUCGUAGGUGAAGGUUGGAAGUUGAAUCCCUCUAACACCUAGGAAAGGGACCAUUUCCCCAUGAUUUAUGGUGCAGUGAAACAGAGGGAUCUCCACUAGGGUACUUACCCCGUGACCACUGGGUCCGACCCCAUCACCUUCCCUGUCACCACUGCGAUUUUUCAUGCUACCACCACUACAAUGGCUAAUACCCUCACGAUGACUCUGUUUAAUUCUUACCAUUUAGGGGGAAGAUGAAAGAAGCAGAAAAGGAUUAGGAAAUUACCUGAUAGACUUGCUGAAAAUUGAUCAGAGAUAAAAGAAAAAGGAACCUAGAUGAAUGAGCAAUAAAGGCUAAGGGGGAAACUAGGGAUUUGGAAGGAAACUUAGUUGGUAAGAAAUUGAAGAGUAAGUUUUGAUGAAAGGCCUCUUUUCCUGAUACCUUGAUUUAAGUUGCCAAACGUCUAAGGGAAGUUUGGAAAAUUUUUAGAAUAAACUAUUUAAAUCCUCGAACCCAUAGAUGACACAUGUUGAGUAGAAGAAAGCUUUUUCUUAAACCCCUCGAUAACCAGAAAAGUGAAAGCGUCCUCCAAAGUUGAUCGUUUAUCAAGUAUUUGUCAUAUGACCCAUUUUAACUCUGAAAGUUAUCUAAUUGUGUUGUGCGAAGAUAUGACUGGCUAAUGGUAUAAGUAAGAAUCCUUCAGAAUUGGUACAAAAUGGUCCUUGUGCCAUAAAAUUCCUUAAGUGUUAGGGUAGAGUUGUCGGUGAGCAAGAUGAGACCUAGACAAAAUUUAGGGCAAUAAAGUAGCAACGUGUCCCCAAGAAAGACGAAAGUAACUGCCCUUAGGUAUGCAAAGAAAUUCCUAAGAUAAGAGAAGAUAGAGUGGACAUUACCAUGGGAAACUUAGGUAAGAAAGGAAAUUUCAAAGAUGAAAUUUUCUUCAAGGGUGGGGGAGUUGUCACACUCGGUUACCAUAAUUGACCCAAAAAUUCAAGAAAGCUAGGAUUAAAUUGAAAAUACUAGCGAAUUAUCAAAAUCUGUUGGGAAAUUAGGAAAAUCCCAGGGACUGAAUUGUGAAUAGUUGGAUUCCAAUUCCAUUUCUAUUAGAUGAGAACCAACUGGUUCCAAAGUUAUAGACAAAAUGAUUAGGAAUGGAUGGUGGGAAGGGGCAGUAAAGACUGUGCCCAAGGUGUAUAAUAUGGGCGAGAGUGGAGACAGAAUUCAAUGAAUUUUGUUUGUAAGUCUUCACCUCCCUCUAGCAUAAUCUUUUUCAGUCGUUCUAAAGAAAAAGGGAAUACAGAUGAAAGAAGCUAUGUAUGUCGUAACAAAGGCAUGAAUCAAAGCCUAGUGGUGGGCAAUUUGAUGAAUUAGUAAGUUUCCUUAUCUUCCUCUCUGUUUAGGAAGUGAGGAAAGAAGUAAAAUAAGACUCACAAAUCUUUUGUAUAAUUUAAGAUUUUGGGUUUCUAAAAAUUUUCCACCAUUGGUUUAACCGCAACAGGGUUGUCAUGCUUAGCCGUCAGGACAAAAGAGGCUCUAGCAUUUGGAUUAGCUAAGCUAUCAAGGAUGAGAAAACAAGGUGAGUGACUCCACUUUGUCAUCUGGUUGUUAUAUGUAAUUAUGAGAAAUUACCAUGUUAAUGCUAAUAGUAAGAGUAGAUGAUUAUUGAAUGAAUAUUUGUCAUAGUACAUUGCUUAAUGAUGUUUUUCAUGGUAUGUAUGAUUAGAGCAUUCAUAAUAUGGAAGGGGUGACUAACUAUGGGUUAGGCGAAGUUAGGAAUGGGAAAAGGGGAUGGAUUUUUUAGAUACCACCAUAUGGUCUUGCUGAGUGCAAACCAUGAUGUGUGAAGCUCCAAGCCUUGAAGAAGGACCAUUGUGGUGUUCGAGCAUGAUGGUAUAGGAUGGUAAAAUGAAGGAAUGAAUGGAAUGAAUGGAAUGAAAUGGGAAAAGUAAAGGUCAUGGCUAGGCCAUGAUCCGGUCAGAGGCUAUACGCCUAAAUUGAGUAAGACCAUAGCUGAAAGAUGUUAUGGCAUCAAGAUAAAGAUGAGUAAGACCAUGGCUGAAAGAUGCUAUGACAUCAUGGUAAACAGGACUAAGACCAUAGCUAAAAGAUGUUAUGCCAUCCUUUGAUAGUCCUUUGGGACAAUAAACACGAGGUUGUAAUGUAUAAGACCCUAGUUGAAAGACGCUACAAUAUCAUAGAUAGUUCGUCGGGGCAAAAAUAAUGGUAUGGUCUGCCGGGACUAUAGAUGUGGGAAAUUGUUUAGAGAGUUUGUAACACCCCUAUCCCAUACCCGUCGCCAGAUUAGGGUUAUGAGGCAUUACCGACUAACAUAUAUCUCAGAUCAACUUCUAUCAUAAAUUAACCAAUAUAAUAUUAAAUCAACUAUCAUGCUUCAAUUUAAUAUUACAUAAGAUUAUAAAAUUAAAAUAAUCAAAUAAUAACAAGAAGGAAACAUACAACAUUUUUUUAAAAAAAAUCUUUUAUAACCUUUGAGCAAUAUAUGUGUACAAUUUUUUAUAAUUAUACAAGCAUCAUACGCAUACCAUAAGCAAGCAACCACGGAUUAUUAUUAUUAUUUUUUACAAAUAAAUAGAUAGUCUAUAAUAGUCUUUAUUAAUCUGUUUAUGACGUUUUCAUAUCAUGAACAAAUAUUCAUAACAAUAGCUCAAACAAAUAACUACUUAAGCAAUCCAUAAUUAUUAUAGUAAUAUAUAUCAUGAAAGAUCGGUACAAAACCAUGUUUACCUUCCAUCUAAUUAACUAACAAAUAUUACCUUUGUCAAAACACAAGUAAAAAUAAACCUAACACAUGAAUAUAUAUUUUUCUUGAAAGCGUAUAUAUGCAUAUUACAAUGUCAUGUUAUAAAUCCAAACAUUAUCCUGGCAACUAUGAAGUCACAAGGCAAGUCAUUUCAUCAUAAGAAAAAAUAGCUAUACAAGCAUGUACCGAAUCUUAAGUUAGCUAAAACCAUUUCAUGCAAACUUAUUUUAUAACCGAAUAUACCUAUAUAUAUAUGAAAUAAUCUUCAAGACUAAUCAUGUAACAAAACAUACCUCACAAGUAUAAGUCUUUGACCACAUUUAAACCUAUACAAAAUAUAAAUCUUUCAUGCCGUAUAACGAACAUACCGAACAACAUAAUUCAUGUUCGAAUAUAACCAAUUAACAUUUAAUGCCAAACCACAUAAUAAAACUUACAUUGAGCAUAACUACCGAAUCCUCUUGGAUAUAUAUUAUCUUAUUAUGAAUCAUGUUUAAACAACCAAAUAUAUCUAGGUUUAUAUAUUACAGCCAACACAUUCAAACUUCAUCCAAGACUUUAACCAACUUAAAUGCACAACCAUGCACGUAUCGCAACAUUACUUUUUAAAGCGUAAAAUGCCAUAACUAAAAUAAACGCAAAACACAGGUAACCAUAACCGAUCCUAGGCAAGAUGGUUAAGCCAUUUUCACAUGGCAUAUAUAUAUAUUCAUUUCCAAAAUAUUUAACCUCAAAACCAGCCUAUACAAGCCAUAAUUUAAGUUUAGUUUAAGGUACCAAAUUUGUAGAUAGUGUGAUGAACUUGGUUGAUAAUCCCCGAGCUUGCAGCUUGACUUCAAAAUCUAUAAAACAGAGUAACGUAAUACACAAAGUAAGCUACCACAGCUUAGUAAGUCAUAAGCAAUAAACAACUCAAUAACACAUUUGAUCCAUGUCAACUAAAUGAAAUGCAUUAACAUUAUUAACCACCUAAGACGAAUACAUAUACUAUCAUUUAAUACAAUAUAAAUCAACUUCCAAACUAGUAGCCAAAAUAACCACACAUCCAUUUACUCUUUUAUGCAACUUAAGAAUCAUCAAAUGUCAUCCCAUGUAUAAAUAAUACCUAGGAAGCCGAAUACACAAAUUAUAUGUACACGUGUUAAGUUACAUUUCAGUACUACACAAAUUGUUCAUUCAUACGCCGAAUACACAUAUCCAAAUACACAUGGAAUCCUCAUUUGCAUUGUACAAGAUUUACAACACAUAACUAUAGUACUUUCUUACCUUAUCUUAAGUAGACAUCAAGUUAACUCAUACUUGAUCAUUUAGCUCGUAAUAUACAAUCCAUACGCAGUUUACCUUUUCCCGAUAAACCAUUAGGAAUUGGUUAGGAAACUCUGAUAAUCACAUAAAUCGUACAAUGCCAACAUCACAGACGUGGUCUUACAUGUAGCCACAAAUCGAUGCCAUUGUCCCAGAUAGGGUCUUACUCGUAAACACAUAUCGAAACCACAAAUCCAUGCCAUGGACUUACUCGCACACACAUAUCGGAAUCCUAUGUCAUGACAUAUGUAUCCUAGCUAUUCCUAAGGUUAAUACAGGGCUUUCGAACGUCGUAACUCAAUCGGAAUGAACUUAGUAACGCAGUAACCAAACCUUUUUAUAUUCAGUUAUAUCAAACAUAAAUUCUAAUAUUUCAUAAAAGCAUGUAUAUUUUAUAUUUAGCUACAAUUAAACACGUCUAUUUGCUUAAAAACUUACCUCGAACGUCGUAAAACAGAACGGGGUUGCUAGUCGACAACUUUCAUUUUUCCCCGAUCCAAAUCUGAUUUCUUUGGUUCUUGAUAUAAACACAUUCAAAUUAAGCUAAUUCAACAUAUUUUCAUUCAAUUUAGUCAAAAAACACAUAAAUAGGAAAAUUACUAUUUUACCCCUGACAUUUACAAUUUUUACAAUGUAGUCCCUAUUGCAUAAAACACAAAAUACACCAAAUUUCUCCACACCCAAGCUAGGCUGAAUAUUACCCAUGUCUAUACAAGCCCAUAUAAUUCUUUAAUUUCACAUUUUAGUCCCUCAAAUUAUUAUUUUUUCAAUUAAGUCCUAAUUACUCAAAAUCAUCAAAAAUUUCAAUACAAAAUAUGUUAAUCUAAAACAUAUCUUUCAUUUUUCAUCAUCAAACAACAAAAAUCACAAGCUAUCAACAAUGGUACAACUCAAAAUAUUCAUCAAAAUCAAAAAUUCAAGCAUGGGUUUUUAAGAUUACUAAGCAACGAUCUCAAAAACGUAGAAAUUAUCAAAAACCGAAAAACAUCUAACCUUGAUUGAGGUUUAAAAGUGCUGAACCCUAGCCUUUGUUUUUUUUUCUAUUUCUUUGUCUUAUUUUCAGUGUAUGAACAAGGAAAAAUUAUAUGAAAUAAACUUAUUUUAUGUUUAUUAUAUGAUAGUUUAUAAUAUAUUAUUUCAUUUCCAAAUUUAACCUUAAUUAUAACAUUAUAUUAUUUCAUUUAAAUGUCCUUAGCCGUCCAACAGUAUAUAUAUUGGGCUAAUUUCAUCAUAACUACUCUCAUUUAGAAAGCCAUCUACAAUUAAUCCCUUUACAAAAUAAACUACCCACUUUUCAAUUUACACGAUUAAGUCCUUUUAUUUAAUCGGACACAUAAACGAUAAAAUUAAAUUACGAAAAUUUCACAGAUAUAAAUUCACACAAAAUAAACACAAAAAAUAAUUUUUAAAUAUUUUUCUAACUCAGAUUCGUGGUCCCAAAACCACCGUUCCAAUUAGGGUCUAAAUAGAGCUUUUACAGAGUUAGACAUGGGAAUCAUAAUUAAAAAAAUCCAUUGUUUACGAAAAAUGUCAAGGGUGAGAGUAGAUAUCGCAUUGUACAUGGAAUGAUAAGUAAUAAGAAGAGAUGAUUUGGUGCGUCUAAGGAACAUAGACCACUGGAUGAAUGAGGAGUGCUGAGGAUGUGUCUCUACACCUGAUAGAGUGAAAAAGGAAACGAAACUCUUUGACUAAGAAGGUAAACAUGGUACCUGUAAAUACUAGCCCGCCAAGAAAACUAUGAAAUUAUCGCAUGAUUUAAAUAGCAGAGAACAAUUUCGUAUUUUGUAAGAUGAUAAAAAAAUUACUUGAAGUAUUUAAUAAGCUUAUUAGAAUUCUCAAAGGAAGAAACAUAUGUUCAAGGCCAAAUGGCUAGCAAAGUCCGUCAAAGAAUAAUGGAUGCGGAGGUUAGAUAUAGCCAUCGGGAAUGGCAGGGAUUUUGUGGAGCUUUCACAAGACAGAACUACAUGUUCUAAGAAGCCUAUAUAAGAGAUAGAUCGACAGUGAAAAGGAAAUCCAGUACUAGUAGUGAACGUUAGUGCUCUAAAGCAACGAGGACCAUAAAAUAAAGGAAAUGCCCACAAACUUUGAAGCUGCUUGGGUAGUUUCCCAACGUUGCUCGCCCAGGAUAGUAAAUGCAAAUACUAGAGAGUUGAAUUUUUGAGUUGGAUGUUUUGCACUUUUCUUAAAUUCUAUAUGUUGGUUAUGGGGUCGUUGAGAGCACCAAAAAUAUCCUACCCCUAUAAAAUGUUGAAAAUAAUAAAAAUAAUAGUAUAAGGGAAAUAGGAUCAAAUCCUCAAGGACUGGAUUUGCACAAUUACUUGUUCCUCGAAAUCUUGGUCAAAAUCGUGCCCAAGAAAACUUGCGUACCCGGAAAAGAAAAAAAAUUAAAAGUUUUGAUCUAGAAAAAUUAAAUAAAAAUAGAAUUAAAAGGUUUUAUUGGAAUUUCAAAAAAUAAAAAUAAUAGAAAUAAAUAAAGUUGAGGAAAAGGUGUUCUUAUAGAGAGGUUCCAGCCUUCGGUUCUCUCGAUCCGCCUUGGGUUCAAUCCUUGGCUUUUAGGAGAUCCUUCUUAAAUAGAAUAAGCCAGUUAUAGUGGAAGAGGACGCCUAUGAUCACCAGCUCCAAGAAUUUAGACUUACAAUUUAGAAGAACCUAACUUUAGCCAACAAUCGUUUCUGUGGGAUCAUCUUAUGCUAGAUCAUCACUUCUCAAUAGCUAAUCUCAAGCCAUUUUAUCUCUUGGGCUGGCCAACCUCUGGCGCAGUAAGCUAACAAACCGACUGUGUAACCUUCUCAAAACAUACAAAGCGGUCGCCUUUGCACACAUUGAAAAGAUCACUUUUUAUGGGACAUGAACAGAAGCGUCAGCCCCGUAAUGCAGAGAAACGAUGAAUAUUCGUCGAGAAAGAUAAGUACGGAUUCUAUGCCUCAAGAACCCUUUUUUGGCGAAUUUUGACAACCUUCGGCUAGAUAGAUUUAGUGGCUCAUGAUUUUUAGGGAAAAACAAAUAAAUAUAAUGGAAAUAGAAUUUUUAUUAAAAUAUAAAAAGAACAAAAAUGGCUAAACUUUAUGGAGAGAAAGUGUUUACAGAAAAACAUCUAUCCAAUUUGUGUCAUUCCAUCCCCUAUUUAUAGUACCAAGAAACCUAGCAUAUUCCUAAUUAAAUUCUAUAAGAUAAAUACAAAUAAUUAAAGAUAAUUAAAAAUAAAUGAAAAUAAAUCCUAAAAUUAAAUCUAAAUAAUAAUCCUUAAUAAUUAUCCUAAUAUAAUUACACAUUAAAUAAAGUCUUGUGCUUAAAAUCUCUUCUUUUGCACUUUUGCCCUUAUGUCUUCCAUACUUGCAUUUUUGGCACCACCUUUUUCCCUAUGUCACAUGUUGGCCCAUUUUAUCUUUAAAUUUGCACUUUUUUCUUUAAAUUUUCUUUUGCCACCAAUUCAGUCCCUGAAAGAUAAAAGACCAUAAAUAGCUCAAAUUAGUAGGGUCAUACUCAAAAUAAACAUACAAUUAGCACAUAAAAUAUGAUGUUCUAAAGUAUUAUGAAAUUCCCCCUACUUAGCCCAUGCUUGCCCUCAAGUAUGGUUCCUAUCCACUGUGAAAUUUAGAAAUUGUCAUGAAAGAAGUACUACUCCAAAGUUUUAUAAAAAUUAGUCAAAAUGCAUAUGAAAAAUAAAGAGAACCCUUAGCUUGUUUUAAGUAAAAUUGAAAAUGUAUUCCAAUUAACACACAAAAAAUAAGAUCGACUUGGAUUAGUUCAUGAAAAUUAAGUAAUUUACCAAACUUACCAAGACACCCUAUUUUUUUCUACCUUUAGUCCUCAAAUUUUAUUAACACGCCUUUUUUUUAGUUAUUUAUUUAUUUAGUUUUGCUUAAGAAUAUAUUAAACCUUUUGACGUGAAGAGAGAUGACAGCCAAGCACCUCACCCUGGUUACUCAACCCAAUACACUCCUAAUUUUUAUUUUUCUUAAGAACAUAUCGAACCUUUUGACGCGAAGAGAGAUGACAACCCAAGCACCCUACCCCGGUUACUCAGCUAGUCACGUCUUAAACUGUACCCAUAACCAUGAAAACAUUAUUAUUAUUAAACAAAAUUUUAAUUUUGGAGGACUUAGAAGCAACAAUUAAGUGUCAAAAAUAGUUUCAGCAACCACUUUAAUAGUCAUGAACAUAUUUUAAGCAUGCAAUUGUAUUAAGUGUCCUCUUUUCAUUUAGACUUAAUCAAUUAUACUAUAAGCAAGAUAGGGUUGACUUUAUCGAUCAUAAUUAUUUAUCCUAAAAGAAAUAAAACAAUGAAGAUGAAAUCAAAUAGGCAAAAUCAUAACUAACUCAGUAGACAAAAAGCAUACAUGUGGGUCAAACAGUGGGUAAGUCGUGAUCAAAUUCUUGGGCAUGAAAAGAGGUAGAAUAUUCUUAAAAAAAAUUAUAUGGGCAGCAACAACCAAAGCGGCAGCAACAACAACAAAAACAGCAUCUAAAAUGACAGAAAUAAUGAGAAAUGCCUCCCCCUACUUAAAACACAUAGUCCUCGAUGUGGAAUAAAUAAAUAUAUAGGCGGAAGAAAAGUUUAGAAGAACUCUCCAUGUAAUUACUGUCGUUCGCGCAUAAUGGCAAUGAGUUGAGCUAGCUGCUGGCCAAAAGUGCUAAGUCGAGCCUCGAUGCGCACUAAGCAUUGCUUAACAGUCAUCGAAGGUUGGGUUGGAGUGGGUACUUCGUUCUGAUUUUAUUGUCGAAAGACUCAUUCAACCGGUGCGAAGUGAAUGCCUGAAGGGACAAAAUGGAAGGAAGAUGGAGUGCUAAGAAGUAGUCCCAUCGAGUCGAGGCAUCGAGCAUCCAAAGGAUCAGCCUGACAAGCAACAUGCAAAUCUGAAAUAGGAGCAUUAGAACCAUGUAGAGAAAAUAACUGUUGUGUAAUAAAUAAGCCUAAAAUUAGAGGACGUUUUGCAUUUAUAACAUAUUUGAAUUGAAACGCAUACCAAUAAGCCAAAUUUAUCGGACGACCGGUAUACAUAUACCAUAAUAAGAAUAAUUCUGUCUUCGACACGGUAGCCAGAGCAUAUCGACGGCCUAAAAAUUUGUAAGCCAAAUAACGGUGUAUGUAACAUAAGGCGGGGUUACGAAGCCAUAAAUCCUUUAAUGUUUUUGGGCUAUACAUGGAUUCGGCACUAUCAGUUAACAAAGCGAAGGCCUCGAAAGCCUUAAAAUCUACAAGAAAAGUACAUAGGCUAUUUUUAUAAUUAGUGGACAUAGUAUAGUCCUCAGUCAUAAAAAAACAAUGCAAUAUUGAAAUCCAUGAGGGAUAAACUAUGCAUGGUACCAAGUAACCAAAAUUUGACAACACUAGGUGUAUCCAAUGAUAUUUGACCGUGUCGCUAAAAACGGAAGGUUAGAAUAAAACUCUAAAACUAGUUGCAAGAUGUACAGCAUCCAAAACAGGUAAUGACAAACAUUUGCAGGGAAGUAUCUAUUUUUGUCCAAGUCGGUCAUACCUUUCCCGAUCGGUGGCAGAAGUAAAUGUCAGAUUACUGUGCAAUUAGCAUUCUAGUGGAAGGAUAUUGACGCGCGAUUGAUAGGUGCAGCCACUAGUAGGUAAUGGGCAUUGGUCGUCGUGACUCUCAGAGGGACCGUUGUACAUGUGCUGUUCGGCACUGUCGAAGUUGGAGUCGAUGGAGGAACCGACGACCGAAGAUGUUGGUUGGGUCGAAGGGCGUGGUGGCUGACGCCGAGAUUAGUAGCGCGACAGCUCAGGCGUCGAACAUAGCGGCUGUGGUGAUGGGGGAAGGUGAAGAAUAAGGCCGCGUGAAAGGGAAGAAAAAGCGACGAAAGAAUGGCGUUGAGGAGAAGAGAGGGUGGGUACGUUACCAGUGAGCGGAGGAGUGGGAGAGUGCGUCGAUGUUACGAGAAGCGGAGAAGAAAAAGGGGAAAAGAGGAUGGCAUGCCGUGCGGGUUAAGUGGAGAAGAGGAAGAGGAGGUUAAAGGCGUAGAAGAGGAGGAAGGGGAGGGAGUUUCGUGUGGCGGAAAAGAGGAGGGAAAGGGUGUGUUGUCGGCCAAAUCGAUGUGUCAGGGUGCCAAAAAUCGACGCUGAUGGCUGUUGACGGUAAAGGAAGGUUCAGCGACGGCUCAGCUUCAGGUUCUCACCAUGGUGGUUGGAGAUCAGCAAUAGAGGGGGUGGGGAAGGGUUUCAGCAGCUGAUGGAAUUUUUGGGAAAAAAUAGGUUGAAAUUUUUAGGUUUUGGGGUUUUAUUCGGCUGAAUGGGUGUGUUUGGCUGUAGGUUUUGGAUAGUCUAGGGUAAGAACACGCUAUUCCUGGCUAGAAUAGGAAUGGAAUAAAGGUUGUUUGGCUGCAGGUUUUGGAUAGUUUAUGGUAGGAACGUGCUAUUCUUGGCUGGAAUAAGGAUGGAAUGAGGGCUGUUUGGCUGCAAGUUUUUUGUUUCCCUAUUUUUUUUUCUCCCUAUUGUUGCUUCGGUUUACCUAGACAGAAGAAGAAAAUUUUAUCAACAUCCAAAAAUAAAAUAAAGUAAAAUUAAAUUAAAUUAAAUUAAUUAAAAUUAAUAAAUAAAAGUAAAAAUAAAAAUUGGGUUGCCUCCCAACAAGCGCUUAUUUAACGUCGUUAUCUCGAUGUCGUGAAAGGUUCUAUGGUGGUUCUAGAUGAAUCUUUUCAACCAUGUGGGCUUGAAAAUUCUCGUAAAAUGGCUUCAAUCGUUGGCCAUUAACUAUGAACCAUUUUCCUGAUUCUUCACAUUCUAUUUCAACCGUACCAUGUGUAAAUACUUUGGUCAUAAUAAAAGGUCCUUGCCGUCGAGAUCGAAGCUUACCUGGGAAUAGCUUUAAUACGGAGUUAUAAAGCAAAACCUUUUGUCCUACCGAAAAAUGCUUCUAAACUAUUUUCUUAUCAUGAAACAGCUUUGUCUUGUCCUUAUAAAUGUGAGCAUUCUCGUAGGCAUCAUUACGAAUUUCCUCCAAUUCUUGAAUAUCUAAUUUCCUCGCCUUCCCUGUGGGUUCUAACUCCAUGUUACAUUGUCGAACAUCUCAAUAAGCUUUAUGUUCCAAUUCAACCAGAAGAUGGUAAGCUUUUCCAAAAAUAAGCUGAUAUGGGGUCAUGCUAAUUGGUCCUUUAUACGUCAUUCGAUAGGCCCAAAGUGCAUCAUUAAGCCGAAAACUCCAAUCCUUUCGGUUGGGUUGAACUAUUUUCUCUAAAAUAGACUUAAUCUCUCUAUUCGAAACCUCUCCUAGGCCAUUCGUUUGGGGAUGGUAGGCUAUGGCUAUACGAUGAUAAACUCCGUAUUUUGACAAUAGUGCCUCUAUGACUUUGUUGCAAAAAUGGGUGUCAUGAUCACUGAUCAGAGCUUGAGGUGUGCCAAACCUAAAAGAAGUUGUUUGUUUAAGAAACUCCACAACAGUUUUAGCAUUGUCAUUACGAGUAGGCUUUGCUUUUAUCCAUUUAGAAACAUAGUCUACUGCAAGAAUUAUAUAUACAUUUCUAAAUGAGGAAAUAAAUGGGCCCAUGAAAUCAAUGUCCUAUACAUCAAAAAUCUCACAUACAUGAAUGGGGAUAGGGGCAUUUGAUUUCGUUUAGUGAUGUUACCUGUAUGUUGGCUAAAAUAGCCCACACUCUAAUAUCUUGUGAGCAGUCUGUUUAGGGCCAAAGUGACCUCCGUAAGCUUCUAUAUUAAAAAAAGUAAGGAUAGAGGUUACCUCGGUUUCUGGAACACAUCGUCUUAUUAUCUGAUUUGAACAGUGUUUCCACAAGUAUGGGUCGUCCCAAAUGUAAUAUCGAGCUUUCCAUAUAAGUUUGUCCUUCAAGGAACGUGCUAACUCAGUGGGUAGCGAACCUGUGGUAGGAGAUUUACUAUAUCCGCAUACCAUGGGUAAUCAGCCUCGAAAAAAAUAAGCUCUCAUCAGGGAACUCACCCUUUAUAGGGGUGUCAUCAUCAGGUAUUUUUAACCUACUCAAGUGGUCGGCUACCAAGUUUUCGCAUCCCUUUUUGUCACGAAUCUCUAUGUUAAAUUCUUGGAGUAGCAAAAUCCAUCUAAUGAGCCUUGGCUUUGAUUCCUUCUUCGAGAUUAAGUACCUGUGAGCUGUAUGAUCAGAAAAAAUAAUCACCUUAGAUCCCAAUAAAUAUGACCGAAAUUUAUCCAAAGCAAAUACAACAACUAAGAGUUCUUUUUCUGUGGUGGUGUAGUUGUUUUGUGCAGCAUCUAGGGUUUUUAAGACAUAGCAAAUGACAUGAGGCUCUUUGUCUAUCUUUUGCCCUAAUACGGCCUCCACACUACGUUCGCUUGCAUCGCACAUAAUUUCAAAGAGGUAGUUCCAAUCUGGUGCUUGUACUAUAGGAGUGGACACCAACUUCUGCUUGAGUGUAUCAAAUGCCUCUUUGCAUUUUGGGCCGAACUCGAAUUUCUUAUCUUUCUGCAAUAACUCGCACAACGGUUCAGCUACUUUGGAAAAGUUCUUUAUAAAAAUCUUUUAAAAUCCUGCAUGGCUAAGGAAAGAAUGUAUCUCCCUUACAGUAGAGGGAUAUGGCUAAGAAUUUAUAAUGUCAGUUUUGGCCUUAUCGACCUCAAUUCCCUUAGCUAAAACUAUAUGACCUAGAAUCAAACAUUUGUCUACCAUAAAAUGACACUUUUCAUAAUUCAAGACAAGAUUAAAUUCUAUGCACCUAUUUAAAAUAAUCGUGAGGUUUUUAAGGUAUUCGUUAAAACAAUUUUCAUACACAGUAAAAUCAUCCAUAAAAACUUCGAUAAUUUUUUCCACAUAUUCAAAAAAUAUACUCAUCAUGCAUCUCUGGAAAGUGGCCGGCACAUUGCAAAGUCCAAAUGACAUCUUUCUGUACACAAAUGUGCCGAAUAGGCACAUAAAAGUGUUCUUUUCCUGGUCCUCUGGUGCGACUGGAAUUUGGAAGAAACAUGAGUAACCAUCAAGAGAAAAAAAGUGAGUUUUACCAGCUAAUCGCUCAAGAAUUUGAUCUAUAAAAAGAAGAGGGAAGUAAUCUUUUCUAAUGUAAAAAUUCAACUUCCUAUCAUCAAUACAGACACGCCACCCAUUCUGCACUCGAGUUGGUAACAAGUCACCUUCAGCAUUUUUCUUUACUGUCAAGCCCGUUUUCUUAGGCAUGACUUGUAUCGGACUUACCCAUCUGCUAUCUGAAAUAGGGUAGAUUAUGUCAGCAUCCAGCAGCUUCAUUAUCUCCUUUUUUACUACCUCCAUCAUAUUCAGGUUCAACCGUCUUUGCACCUCUCUUCUUAGUUUAGUGUUUUCCUCCAAGUAGAUUCUGUUUGUGCAUGUCAAAGGGCUUAUCCCUUUUAAAUCGGAAAUAGUCCAGCAAAUCGUCUUUUUAUGAUUUUGUAGUACCCAGAUCAAACUUUCUUCUUUGAGCUUAGAGAGUUUACUUGAAACUAUAAUCUAUAGGGUAUUACCUUUCCCCAAAAAUGCAUACUUAAGAUGUUUGGGAAGCGGCUUUAAUUCAAAAUCUGGAGCCUGCACAACAUAAGGUAAAAGUUUAGUGUUUGAUGGAGACAAUAACUCAUUAACAGAUUCAUAAUCAUCAAUUAUAAAUUCAGAUUUAUCUUUAUAAAUAGACUCAAAAGUCUCCUCUACUAAAGAGUCAAUUAUGUCGACACAGUUUACACUCAAUAUUUUGCUUGGAUGACUAAUAGCAUUGUAGACAUUGAACUUCAUGACCUCCCUAUCAAUUUCCAUCAUAAGAGUUCUACUUCGCACAUCAAUUUGGUGCUAGCGGUACUAAGGAAAGGUCGACCCAACAAGAGGUUUGAAGAUCCAAGAGUGCUAUCCUCCUCUAUUUUUAUCACAUAAAAAUCUACAGGGAAAAUAAGUUCGUUAACUUUUACCAAUACGUCCUCGAGGACUCCUUUGGGAUACACAAUGGACCUGUCUGCCAACUGAAUGAUAACACUUGUUUUUGUUAAAAAAAACACGCGUUAAGUAAUUCAUAUAUAAAAAAGGCAUUACAUUUAUUGAGGCCCUUAAAUCACACAUAGCCUUCUUAAUUCCCAAAUGGUCUAUCUUGCAUGGUAUUGCAAACAUGCCCCUACCUUUACAUUUUGCUGGCAUCUUCCGCUGUAACACUGCAGAUACAUUUUCACCAACACUUACCUUUUCAUUACCUGUUAAUUUUCAUUUGUUGAUGCAGAGUUCUUUAAGGAACUUGGCAUACUGCGGAAUUUGUCUGAUGGCAUCCAACAGUGGUAUAUUGAUCUCGACAUUUCUGAAUGUUUCGAGGAUGUCUUUGUCUUCUUUGUCCUUUCAACAUUGAUUUAAUCGUCCUAGAAAUGGAGGUUGAAUUUUUGGAAAUAGGGGUUUUGGUUGAACCUGUUCGUCAUUUUCGUGAUUUUUUUGGGCGAUUUCUUAGCUAAGAUUCCUGCCAGAAUUGGUUCCAGUACCUUUCCACUUUGUAGUGUCACUACAUUCGCGUUUUGUCUCGGGUUCAGUUCUGUUUUUGACGGUAGUUUCCCUUGAGAAAUUAUUUUCUCAAUUGAUAUGGUCAAUUCUCUUAUAGACACCUCUGUUUUUUGUUGAAAAUCAAGCAUAUUAACUGCUAAUUUAUUGACCAAAGUUUCCAGAGAAUUACCUGAAUCUCAUGGCUGUUGUGGAACCCGAUUUUGGUAUGGCUGGUUAUAUCGUGGAUUGGGCCCAUAACUUAAGUUAGGGUGGUCCCUCCAUCCUGGGUUGUAGGUGUUAGCGUAAAGGUUGUAUCACCUUUGUGGUGGCCCAAGGAAAUUUCCCACAGCAUUUAAAUGAGCCAUAGUAUCAUCAUACAAACUGGGACAUGCAUCAGUUGUAUGCACAUAUUCUGCAUACUCGGGCUGGUUUGGCUUUUUCUGUAAUAAGAGAACUCACAAUAUCAGUAAGUCUAUCAACUUUAUCUUCUAAGGUUGAAUUACUUAGCUGGUGAACCCUUCUAAGGGGUUCAGGAUUGGCUCAGAAUUACUAAGUAUUUGCAGCCAUCGUGGAGAUCAAGUCUCUUGCUUGUUGGGGAGUCAUGUUGACCGAUGCUCCUCCACUAGUAGCGUCUACCAUAUUGAUCUUUAUGGGUUUCAAGCCAUCAUAAAAAUAUUGGAGAAGAGAUUCUUCUGUAAUACCGUGUUGUGGACAGCUUGCACACAGCUUCUUAAAUCGCUCCCAAUAGUCGUAAAGAGACUCUGCUUCUUUUUUCCUUAUUCCAACGAUCUCUCUUCUUAACUCAACUGUACGUGAUGCUGGAAAAAAGCUGUUGAGAAAUAAAUGAGAAUGAUCAGCCCAAGUUGUAAUAGAUCCAGGAGGCAAGUAAAAUAGCCACUCCCUAGCUGAAUCUGCUAGGGAAAAAUGGAAGCACGCAGUUUAAUUUGCUCCUCAGUUACCCCCUGAGCUUUCAUGCUAAGACAAACCAUAUGAAACUCUUUCAGAUAUUUGUGGGGAUUUUCGUUUUGCAACCCACGAAAAGUUGGCAGAAGUUGGAUUAAACCUGAAUUUAAUUCAAAAUCAGUUUCCAUAGUAGGAUAUGCGAUGCAUAAUGGCAAUUCUUCUACUGGAGCUUCGGCUAGUUGCCGAAUUGUUUGAGUCAUUGGUUGAUGUGCUAGAUUUGGGUUUUCAUUAACCCUAGUGUUAAGCACUUCUUCUGGGGAAUUGAAUUCUACUUUUUCACUUUCAAAUAUUUGAAUAGGGUUUUCGUUAACUCUAGACUCUACUUCGUCAUCGAUUUCGAUUUCUGGUGGUGGGUUACUCUGAGUCUCAACCAUUCCUGACUGCUUUUUGCGUAACUUUGUUUCCUUGUGAUGGCUCUUGCAGUCUUCUCUAUCUCUGAAUCAAACUCAAGAGUACCUGGAGCAGAUCUGGUUAUAAGAAACAAAGAACAAGAUCAGUACAUUACCGAUCCCCAACAACGGCACCAAAAUUUGAUGCGGUUGUUGAAAGCACCGAAAAUAUCCUAUCCCUAUAAAAUGUUGAAAAUAAUAAAAAUAAUAGUAUAAGGGAAGUAAGGUCAAAUCCUCAGGGACCAGAUUUGCACAAUUACUUGUUCUUCGAAAUCCUGGUCAGAAUCGUGCCCAAGAAAACCUACGUAGCUGGAAAAGAAAAAAAUAGAAUUAAAAGUUUUGAUCUGGAAAAAUUAAAUAAAAAUAGAAUUAAAAUUUUUUAUUGGAAUUUUGAAAAUUAAAAAUAAUAUAAAUAAAUAAAGUUGAGGAAAAUGUGUUCUUAUAGAGAGGUUCCAGCCUCCGGUUGUCUCAAUUUGCCUUGGGUUCAAUCCUCGACUUUUAGGUUAUCUUUCUCAAAUAGAAUAAGCUAGUUAUAGUGGAAGAGGAUGCCUACAACCACCAGCUCCAAGAAUUUAGACUUACAAUUUAGCGGAACUUGACUCUAGCCAACAAUCGCUUCUGUGGGAUCAUCUUAUGCUAGAUCAUCACUUCUCAAUGGUGAAUCCCACGCCAUUUUGUCUCUUGGGAACCUCUGACGCAAUAAGCUAACAAACCGACUGUGUAACCUUCUCAAAACAUACAAAGCGACCGCCUUUGCACACAUUGAAAAGGUUACUUUUUAAGGGACAUGGACAGAAGCGGCAGCCCUACAAUACAGAGAAACGAUGAAUAUUCAUCGAGAAGGCUAAGUACAGAUUCUAAGCCUCAAGAACCCUUUUUUGGGGAAUUUGGACAACCUUCGGCUAGAUAGAUUUAGUGGCUCAUGAUUUUUGGGGAAAAACAAAUAAAUAUAAUAGAAAUGGAAUUUUUAUUGAAAUAUGAAACGAACAAAAAAGGUUAAACUUUAUGGAGAGAGUUUUUACAGAAAAAGAUCUGGCCAAUUUGUGUCACUUCAUCCCCUAUUUAUAGUACUAAGAAACCUAGCCUAUUCUUAAUUAAAUUCUAUAAGAUAAAUACAAAUAAUUAAAGAUAAUUAAAGAUAAAUGAAAAUAAAUCCUAAAAUUAAAUCUAAAUAAUGAUCCUUAAUAAUUAUCCUAAUAUAAUUAAACAUUAAAUAGAGUCUUGUGCUAUAAAAUCUCUUCUUUUGCACUUUUGCCCUUAUGUCUUCCAUUCUUGCAUUUUUGGCACCACCUUUUUCCCUAUGUCGCAUGUUGGCCCAUUUUAUCUUCAAAUUUGCAAUUUUUGCCUUGAAAUUUCCUUUUGCCUCCAAUUCAGUCCCUGAAAGAUAAAAGACCAUAAAUAGCUCAAAUUAGUAGGGUCAUACUCAAAAUAAACAUGCAAUUAAAAUAUGUCGUUCUAGAGUAUUAUCAGUUGGUGUCACUAAGUUCUUUCGAACUUAUAAGUUUUCUGCUCAAAUCUAGGCUAGUUAAAGAUUUAGACAUUGCGAGUGACCAAGCCAAACUUUGCUAGGAGUGAGGCGAAAUACAGAAUGUUGUAUGUGUACAGAAGGACACCCGUAGAGGCUCCGCUUCGGGGGCUUAGAGGUCGUUUUAUGUUUUCGAUUCUUGGUCCAAAAACUUUGUAAUUUAGUAAUGAAAAUGAAACUCUAAAGUUUUAUCAUUAGUCAAUAUAAAUUGAUUAAGUAAUUUAAUUUCAGAAAAGAAAUUCCGUUAAGAAAUUUGGGUUAUUGUGGCAUCUGAUACCCAGACUCAAUGAACAGGUCAGUCAACGGGUGUUACAUGAUGUAAAUGAGGUUUUUUUUUUAAGUGAUUUGUAACAAUUAGGGUUGGUGUUGCGGAUGCAAUUAUUUUUUUGUGUAAGGGUAGAUUGAGCUUAAACCAAAAGGUGAUCUGGAAGAUUGUUGAAUAAGAUUCAUUCACUAAGUCAGGUUCUACAACAUAUGAUUGUUUCCAAACCGCAUUAAUAAAUGACUAUGUAUGAAUCUCUCCUUAUUUUUUCUGUUUUUGUUUUUGUUUCGUUGACUAAUUAAUCUUGUGACUAAUCAUGUAUUUGGACAGUUAGGUUAAACUUAUAGUAAAUUGACAUAAUUUUCAAGUGGUAUUAGAGCUUGACUUCAAACAUACUUGAAGGUGAUCCUAUGUUCGGCUUGUAGCAAUGAAGUCUAAGAAUAAAAGUCAUUUUAUCACACAUCCACCUUCGGUGAUUAAUUUAUCAAAUCCAAGCAAUGACAAUGAUGUUCCAUUUAAUAUAGGGGAUACAUUUAGUUAGAUUGAUAAAUAAGAUGGAAGUGAUGUUGCAAAUGAAUAAAUCUUUGAAGAAAGAAGUUGUAAUCCACAAAAGAGAAAAAGAACAGCUCAAAAUAGUGGUCAAAGUGAAAGAUUAUGUAACUGUUGCUCUCAAAAAUGCUAAUGAGAUGCUUAAUGAAUCUUCCAAUGAAAAGGAUAAGAUGAUUGCUAAAGCUUGUGCAACUUUGAAAGCAAAAAAGUAAGAGUUAUAUAAUGUUAAAGCUAUUCUAAAAAAAUAUGAAAAGCAAAGUGAUGAUAUCUUAGCUAUUGGGAGAUUCAAACCUAGUCAUGAUUAACUUGAUAAGAAACUUAUAUCUCAUAUGAUUUUUGUAAAAUGUAAAGAGAUAAUUAUUUCUUCUUCUUUUAAGACAAGUAAAAUAGAUAAUAAAAGACAUGUUUUCUACCAUUGUGGAAAGUCUAGCCCAACUUCCUUUUCGAUGACCAAUUUAGCAGAUCCCAAUUUCAGCUAGCCUGCGUUAGCCUUAGGCCUGCCUCCUUCUGUCGACCCAUAAGGCCCUUGCCUUUUGUUACUAUGUUACCUCCGCCCUCCUUAUGUUGUUUUAGGCCCAUGAAAGAUGGGUCAACUUCCUUUUUUGGGCCAAUGCUACUUGUAACACCCCUUACCCUUAUUCGACACCGAAACAGGGUACGAGGUGUUACCAGACAUAAACUCACACAACCAUAAAAAACUGAGACAUGAAUUUCCGUCCAAAUUUAAAAAUUUUCAUUCACAUGUAUAUCAUCCCUUAUAUAGGUCCACGAGACCCAAAUCAUACAUUGGGUGUGGUUCGAGACUAAACUGAGAACUUUGGAAACACUUGGAAGACUUAGAAAAAUUUCCAUGAAAACAGGGUUACACGCCAGUGUGGGUAGGCCGUAUGGUCACACAUGCCCGUGUGGCUUGGGACACGCCCGUGUCCUCAGCCCGUGUAACUCUCUGUUUAUGAUGUCAUCAACUAAAAUAGGGUCACACGGCCAAGUCACACGUGUCCUUUACAUGGCUGAGACACACGGCCGUGUCUCUGCCCGUGUGUUUACUACUUAGCAUUCUGUUUUACCUAAUUACGGUGCAGGGGACACACGGCCAGAACACACACCUAUGGGGCAGAUCGUGUGUCACACACGGCCUAGACACAUGCCCGUGUGUCUAACCGUGUGGACAACUUUAAGGCUAUUUUCAAAGCCUUUUGCCACCCUUAGACACUCACAUGCUUAGACAUAUUUCAUGGCACACAACAUGUCACAUUUUGACAAUCAAACAUACCUAAUCAAGACUAAUUCAUGUCCAUGUAAUGUCACUAUUUCACAUACUCAAAUUAACUUAAGGCAUUCCACACCAAUUUCAUAUCCAAUCAACAUUAUUAACCUACUCUCAAUUCACACAUUUAAACCAUGAUCAUAGCCAUACCAAUUUUGUCAUCAUUCAUUCAUAAUACCCAUAUGACAUAUAACACAAUCCAUCAUCAUCAAGACUUUGACACAUGCAUGCAUAAUUAAUUAGGUUUACAGCCCAAUAAUCAAUAUGAACCAUAUCUCAUGGCCAUAUACAAAAUGAAUCACCAAAUCAUUAUAAGCCAACACACUUGGCCAAAUUAAUAAUGACAUAAUUAAUCAAAAUUCAAAGUCCCUAUACAUGCCAUAAACUUAAAAUUGCGUUCACUUGUACCUAAAUAAUAGCUUGAUAGUGUGAUGGUAUCUUCGGUAGUCUCCAACCCGAGCUAUCUAAAUUAACCUAUAAGAGAUGGGAAAGGAAGGGGGUAAGCUUCAAAACUUAGUAAUUUCAUAUGCAAAUAAUAAACAACAAUUAAUAUUCAUCUACUUUAUCCAUCCAUGAGAAUACUAUUAUUACAAUUAAAUCUUAAGAUUUCCACUUAUUCGUUCGUAGUGCUUACUCUUUUAACUCAUAAACACCAUUUACAUGCCUUGGCAUUAGCCUAGCCACUAUAGUCUCCCCAUUAUAACAUAUCACAUUAAUUAACAAGUUAUUUUCAUCCUCUUAAUCACAUGCACAUUAUUUAUGAGUAAUCAUAAUUUCAACAUAUAGUUCAACCACCUUUCACUUGUCUAAGCUUGUAUCUUACUAUACUCUUAUAAUGACUUUAUUCGGCAAUUAUGCAUGUCUUUCCUUUCCUCAUAUCCAAUGAAACACAAUUUAAAUAAAUGAAAUGUACUAUAUCACAAAUCAAUUAGGCUCAUAAGCCUAUCACAUGAUCAUUAUCAAAUCUUAUCAUGCAUCCAUUCAUUAAUAAUGUAGAUCAUUUGCCAUAAGGUUAUCAAUGUUUCACAUGCAUAACUUGUUCGUGUACAUUCUUACCACAUAUUCAUCAUAUACCAAAUUCACUUUUCAUGAGUUCUGUGUACAUACUAGUACCGCUCGCGAUAUAGUCACAUACUUUCACGUUCUUAACAUACUCAUUGAAAUACAAUUUAAGCAUAUAAACAUAUUGGAUCACAUUUCAAUUCGGCCCAAAAGCCUAACACAUAAUCAUCAUUUAAAUUUAUCAUAUAUCCCACAUCACAAGUAUGUACACUAUCAAUCACAAUGAACAGUAAACAAUUAUUUCCACAAUAAUCAUGAAUUUACAAUUAUAGGCUUACGUACAUGACUGUUCACUCGUAGUAAUUUCAUUCACAUGCUCAUCUUAGAUUUACCUGUUGAACACUCGGAAUACCAUUGGAUACAUGGAAGGCUCACACAUAAGUGCCACAUACGUAGCUAAAGCUACCUCAUAUCACAUAACACAUAAAAGCUCAUUCUCGAGCUACUCACGGGUCUGCUCACACAAGCUGUCGGUCAGGACAUAGCUACACGGGCUGCUCACACAAGCUGUCAGGUAUCCGCAACACAUGUUAGACUACCUAGCCACCGGUAGGACGUACAAGACCAGCACCUGGAACCACAUAAACAUAUAUCACAUAUCUCAUGAGCUCAUAAAUCACAUGAUUCUUAGUGACAUGUCACUUGUAUCCUAAACUAUUCCUAAGGUUCAAAAGGGUUUUUUUUCACUUAUCCAAACUUCGUCAAACACAACCAUAGAAUCAUUUAUUUCAUGCAUUAUCAAAACAUUUAAAAUAGUUAAAAUACAAACAUAGCAUAACAUUAUUUACAUACGAACUUACCUCGACACCAAAAUGGCAAAAACGGACCUAACCGUUAAUUUUUUGUUUUUCCCCCGUUCUAGGUCCGAACCUCGUUUUCUUUGAUCUAUAACAUCACAUUUAGCCCACUUAUUAGUCACAAUAUUCAAUGUGACCUAAAAAUCAUACUAUAAAAAAUUGUAUUUUUGCCCCUAAACUUUGUCAUAUUUACACUUUUACCCCUAGGCUCGUAAAAUGAUUUUUAUUCAAUUUCUUUAACAAACAAGCCUAGCCGAACCAUUUUCAUAACUAUAAAAUCCCAAAAUUUCUAUUAAAACUCACUUUUACUACAUAUUUUAUAAUUUUUACAAUUUAGUCAUUUUGGACGUUUUCACUGAAAAUCACUUAGUAAAAGUCAUUUCUUACACAUCAAACUUUCAUAAUCUAUCAUGAAACAUCAAAACACAUGCAUGUCACACAUGGAUAAAUUUUUAAACAUCAACCCUAACCCAAAUAAAUGGUAGAAAUAUAUAGAUCUUGCUACGAGGAUUUUAAAAACAUAAAAAUCAUUAAAAACGGGGUUAGAACGGACUUACAAUCAAGCUUGCAAGCUUGAAAAACCCUAGUCAUGGUUUCUCCAUGCAAGUUGCGGCCAAGGGGUUGAAGGUGGACAAAAAUUGACUUUUAAUUUUGUUUUUAAUUCAUUUUAAUAACUAUAUAACCAAAAUGCCCUUAAUGAAAAACUUUGGAAACAUGUCUAACCAUGUCCAUUUUUGUCCACCAACUUAACCAAUGGUCUAAUUACAUAUAAGGAUCUCCAAUUUAAAAUUUCAUAACAAUUGGACACCUCCAACAUGUACAACUCAACUUUUGUACUUUUUACAAUUUAGUCCUAUUGACUAAAUUGAGUGCCCAAACGUCAAAAUUUUUUAACGAGAUUUUCAUGAAAUCAUUUUGUGAAAUUCUAGACCAUAAAAACAUAAUAAAAAUAAAUUUUCUUACGUCAGAUUUGUGGUCUCGAAACCACUGUUUCGACUAGGACCAAAAUUGGGCUGUUACACUACAGGCUUGUUCACCUUGUAGCCUGGUUUAGCCUUCAACCUAGAAUGCUCUUCUUGGUCACCCUCUCCUACUACUAGGGUUUCUAGUGCAUGGUAACCUAUGUUGCUUGGUGUCCUCAUAACCUUGCCGUCGUUCCCCUUCACUGCCCUCAACAAUUGUCAACCUUUCUUUUCCACUAACAUCCAAGGGCCAUAAGUGCUCGAUUUUGCCACCAAUUCAUCUAUAUUUGAGUCUGGUUUUGGUCUUUGCUCACUCUUUCCAAUCGCAUCCCCUUCCCCCUAAUUCCUUUUGGCCAUUAACUUCCUUAAGGAAAAGCUCUUUUAUAUAGCCAUAAUGUCUACACGAGAAGCAUACAAUGGGUAAAUAUUCAUAUUCUACCCGCUGAAGAGCCUCGUUAAUCAAAACCUGGGGUAUUAGAGGCUUGUCUAGAUUCACAUAGACUGCCAACCUUGCAAAUCUUCCCCAAAUCCCAGCGUCAGUGUUGAAAUCCAACUUAGCGACGUUCCCUAUCGUACCCCCUAUUUCCCAUAGGAUUCUCCGCUUAUACAUGUGCCCAAGCAAACCCGGGAGCCGAAUCCAAGCCAUGACCAUGCUUGGAUAACGCUGAGAAGUGCUAAAAUCCUUGAUCCAGGGUUGGACGGUAAGGUACUGCCCAUACACAAUCCAAGGUCCUUGGGAUAGUACCUUCUCAAAGUCCUCCAUACUUUUAAAUUUUGUAACACCCCUAACCUGUAUCCAUUACUAGAUUAAGGUUAUAAGGCAUUACUGUAUAAAAUACAGUUCAGUACACUCAUUCCUCACAUUUCAUACACCAAGAAUUAAUAAACAUUUAAAACUUAUCAAUUUCAAAUAUCCACAUUUCACUUAUUAUAAAUUCGAAUACAUGGGUCAUAAUUCCAAUUCAGAAAUAAUUAAACCUUACCGAACAUAUAUUGCAAAUAAGCACAUUUCAAAAAUUCCACUAAUUCAGUACGAACAUAUAACAAAACCCAACUGAUUAUGUUCCAUAAUUACUAAAUUCGAACCAAACUUGUAUAUAUCAAAGACAUGCUCACAUAUUUCAUACUUCCAAUAUUUAGUUCCUUAUAUCCAUCAUAUUAAUGCCAUUUUCAUAAUUAAAAUCAUAUUCCAUUAUAUAUCAUUACACUUCAUACUUCGAAUAUUUGCCAAUUUCUAUCUCAUUAAUCGUAUAUCAAACAUAUCAUUUGAUAACUUCUGCACAAGUUCAUAAUAAAACCAAUUGAAUCAUAUUACAUGAAUUAUUAUGCAAUCACAUAUGAAACUUAAAUACAUUAUAACAUGGUCGAACAUACUAAUGAUGCAUAUAUAUACAAGUGCGCAAUUCAUCCUAAAAAUAAAAGCCAUACUUAGCACUUGAACACAAAAAUAACACUCCAGCGUGCAUCUAAUUCAUAUCUAUAUUAAUAUACCUAAACUUCAUAUUUUUAUCCUAUUAACUAACCCAAACAUACUUAACCAUUUGAACCCAUACCAAUACAAUCAACCAAAACAAUCAUAAAACAUAUUCAUUACUUACCACUUAGUAACUGAACCUGUUAAGUUAAUAUACUAUCAUCCACCAUUCUAAUUAUUCCACAUUUCAUAUUUCCAAAAUGAGCUAACUAUUAAAACGACUACCAAAACCAAACUCAUUAAACAUUUUAAUUAAAAACAUGUAAAACCAAACUUAAGCAUAAUAAGCAAGUCAUUUUCGCAUGGCUUUAAAUACAUACUCAUUCAAAAUAAUUAACUCCAAGACUAGCCUAUACAUGCCACAUAACCGAGUCUCAAAAUAUUAUUUACUGAAAUGAUAACAGGAUAGUGUAAUGUCGUCUCCAUCGACUUUCCAACCCGAGCAAAUCUCCGAAAAUCUAUAAACAUAAGAAAAAGAAAACACAGAGUAAGCUUUUAAGCUUAGUAAGCUCGUAUCUUAAUAAACUUAACAUAACAAAUACUUUCAUUACAAUGUCGUAAACAUAAUAUGCUAUCUCACACAACCUUUCUAAAUUUCAUAACAUGUUCUUAUAUCAAAUUAUCAUCAUUCAAUAUUAUACUUACUCACUUAACCAACUUUAACUUUCACAAAAUUAUUCAAUUAAAUUUUCAUACAUCAACCCUUUCACACUUUCAUAUAGCCAAAUGAACACAUUAUGGGAAAUAACACAUUUAAUUAUAUAUCUUUCUCAUAUGAAUCUCGUAUGAUCAUUUAUAAUCAAAUUCACUUUUCAUUCAUAUAGCAUCUGACAAAUUUCACAUAUCUAACUUUACAAAUCACAUCUUAUUCAUUCAUUUAUGUUUCAUCGGCACAUAAUCAUAUUUCAUUUCCACAUACAUCACAAUACAUUCUUUCCACAUAUACUUCCUUAUUUUCAAAUAGGUAAUCAAUUAUCACGUACCUGAUCGUUUUAGCUCAUUUAACGUAUUCAACAACCAUAUCAGCAAUAAAGCUUUUAGGCAUAAACUUAUAAUAAUUCACCGGCAUAAAGCCUGCUAGGCCUAAGCCUGUAUCUCACACCAUCACAAGGCCUGCUAGACUCAAAGUCUGAUUUUAUACACCGGAAAUAAGCAUGCUAGGCAUAAGCCCGAUUUAAUUCACCAGCACAAGGCUUGUUAGGCUCAAAGCCCGAAUAUCACCAUUAUAAAGUCGUCUCAUAAACAAUUCAUAUAAUAUAGCAUGUAUACUUAUUCACUUUGCUCGAUUUAAUCAUUCAAUCAAAAUUUAUAAUUUCCCUUUGAAUCAUUCGAUAUUUCGCACACUAAGUGUCAUUCUCAAUAUCUCGCACACUAAGUGCCAUUCUCAAUAUUUCAUACACUGAGUGCCAUAUUUGAUUGCCCCGCGCACUAAGUACCACAUUUAGUUGAUAUGUCGUCAGACAUUAAAAUAUUCACGUCUAUACAAUUUAUACGAUAUUAAAGCAUUAGAAGCAUAAAUUUAACAAUGCUUAUUGUAUAGAACUUACCUGGCUAAAUUGUAGAGAUACCAAAGUUUAGGGGCAUUUUGGUAAUUUUCUCAUUUUCCUCGAUUUUCCACCCGAUCUUGAUCUAAAUUAAUAAUUUCAUUCAAUAUAUUAAUUUAGACAGUAAAACACUUCAUUUCAUACAAUUUGGUCAAUUUUUCAUUUUUACAAAAUUACCCUUAAAGUUUUACUUUUAUUCAUUUUUAGUCCCUGAGCUCAAAACAUGCAAAUUAACCAUUUUUAACCAUAAUUAAGCUUAGCCGAAUGUUCAUGGUAUCAAAACAAUCCAUAAUUUACUUUAUGGAAAAAUUAUAGUUUUGCCCCAAAUAUUUCAACUUCUUUACAAUUUAGUCCCUAUAUCAUAAGAGUGCAAAUUCAUGAAAUUGAGUAAAAGUAUACUAUAGCCGAAUAUCACUAGUGUCUCUAGCAGCCCACACAUUUCAUUUAUUUGACAUUUUAACCACAAAUUUUUCACAUUUAUCAAUUUAGCCCUUAAUUGUCAAUUUCACAAAAAUUCACUUAACAAAAAGUGUUUAACUACCAACAAGGACUCAUAUUCUUCCAUUAAAAUUCAAAGCCCUAUUAUACUCAUCAAUGGAAAAUAUCAAACUAUUCAAUGGUUUUACAAAAUAGCCCCCUCAUUAGAUAGAUUAAACAAUAACAAUCCCGAAAAUAUAAAAAUAAUUAAAAACGGGACUAGAAAUGCGUACCAUGCAUUAGCCGAAAGUUGGAAGCUUCUCCCAUGACUUCUCAAGCUUUCAUAUUCGGCUGGUAAAAAGAGAAUGAAAAAGAUGACACCUUGAUUCUUUUAUUUCAUUCAUUUUAUUAUUUUUUAACCAAUUUACAAUAUUAACCUUUAUACACUUUAUUUAUUACACCAAAUGCCAAGCCAUCAUAUCCCACUAUCUCUUUAAUGGGCUAAUUACCAAAUAAGGACUUCCACUUUAAAGUUCUAUAGCUAUUUAAUACCUUUAGCUUAUAGAACACAACUUUGGCACUUUACGCGAUUUAGUCCUUUUUGCUUAAUUAACUAUCGAAACGAUAAAAUUUUUCAACAAAACUUUAAUACCAUCUUAUUGCCACUACAUAAAUAUUUAUAAAAAUAUUUUCGACUCGGUUUAUAGAAACAAGGUCCCGAUACCUCAUUUUCUAAACCCACUUGACCUUAGGGUCAUACCACUUAAACUUAAUAAAUCACUUAUAAAACAAAAAUCACAAUAUCAAAAACAUUUUUAAAAUCACAAUUAACUCGUAAAUAUAAAAUAUAAUAUUUACAAACCUACUCGUCAGAUUUGGUGGCCCUGAAACCACUAUUGAUUAACCCUAAAAACGGGCUGUUACAACUCUCCCCCCUUAGGGAUUUUCGUCCUCGAAAAUCUUACUAGAGAAUAAAUUAGUGAUUUUCUUUCACCAACCUCAACAAUUUCUCACCUAGCCUCAAAUUUCUCAACUUUUCAAUCUCAUGAGCUAAGAUUAUGAUAUGCUCUUUGUUAUACAUCAUAACAAGCUGAGUUUCUACUUCUGUAAGAGAUACUAUAGAUAGAGGAUCUUAUUUGUAUCAUCACAUCAUAUAUAUAAGAAACACAUUACGGGUCUUCUCAAGUUCUGAUAAUAAUCUCAUUCAAUCCGAUGAAUUGCGAACUCAACUUCUCUUUAUAGCUAAAUCUAGAAAUUCUAUUCCCACUAUAAUACUUUUACAAAUACUCAAUUUUCUAAUUGAAAAUUCAAUGCUUUUACGCAUCAAGCCCACAUAUAUUUUCUGCAAAUCUAAAACUGCUUUUAGACGGUCAUGAAUUACUUUCAUUUCCCCUCAGUCUUUCCAAUCACAUCGACCCCAAAAUUCUUUUUAUAAAAAUUCAAUUCAAUACAACGAAUUUCAGUAAUUGCAACAAUACCACACUCAUACAAUGCUAUCUUAACAUUCAUCUCAUAACUAUUAUUAUUAUACUCAAACUUAACCAACAAUAAAUGUCUUUCUCGGUUGUUUUCAAGUUCUAGAACACAGUGUUACAAAGUAAUUCCAUACCCAAAGCUCACAGUAGUUUAUUUUAGUAACACAAUAUAAUCCUUAUGUCUUCAUUUGAACAAUGAAAACUGGCACUCUUUUAGUACUCCCCGUACGGACAGAUAAUUACCACUGUACUAGAUGUCACAAUUGUUGUAAAAUCUCUGGAUUUCUUAAUACACAAACUCUAUCUCGACACAAUGAACGAUUGUCGGUUCCAAUCUGAAAUUCUAAAUCAGAAGUCAAUUUACGUUGUACCCUUUUUAACUUGUAAUUCACUGACACACCUCUUAGCCUCACAAAUUUGCUAAUUAAACAUCAAUUUAGUUUCUAGCUCAGCCAAUAACUACUCAUCAUUUGAUAAGAUUAAUCACAUGAUUAUCUGUCGUAAAACACAUAAAUAUUCUCGCUCAGAACCCCAAAGACUAUAAUCAUUUGCCCAGAUUGAUAAUCAAUCACUGACUCAUAAUCUUUCAACAGUUCAAACCAUCUUUAAUUCUUGUGUCGAAUAACUCUUUACCUGAUGCAGGCUAAACCAGAACUAACGUUUCAAUUAACAAUGUCUUCAACUGUUGACCACUUUAUUAAUAAAUAUCACAUCAUUCAGACUUCCCAAUCACGAUCUAUAAGAACAUUUCUCAAUAAAACCAUUCUGAUGGAUAUAAUUAUGUAUCAUAUUUUCUAGAAUAUGAAUCCUGCAUUCAGAAUAUUCAUCUAUUUAUCUGUGAACAUUCAAAGUUUGUUUCCACCCUGUAGAUAGAUUCAGAUACAAGUAACUCGAUUAAUCCUUCAAGCAAUUAAUCCAAUCAAACUAGACAACUGAAUCGAUCUCGACUAUCAAGUAAUAACUUUUCAAUUAUUAAUCAACGAAGCUUUGAACCAUACUGAAGCCAUAACCAUCAGAUAAAUUAAAAUCAUAGUGCCAUAAUAAGGCUGACAUCUCAACCGUAGAUAUAUAAUGUCCCAAUUAUCAAUAAUGCAUUUUGAACAUAAGAGAAAUUGAAAUAUAAUUACAGUUAUUCAAUAGAUAUUUUUCACAGAUAACCAUAUAGAAUCAUAAGAAAGUAGAGAUAUUGUAAUUCUCAAAUAUAUCACUAUACUGAUCUUUUUAAGAAAGCAGCCAUAUCAGAUGGCAGAUAUCUCAAUGAUGUCUCAGAGGAAAUCCAAAAGUAAAGCAUCACUCAUAUGCACCGGAAUCAACAGUAACAGAAACAAUAUAAUCUUCAUGUAUACUAAGCAGAUCAACAACCAGUAGGAGCAUAAUACCAGCAUCACACAGAUUUAAUCGUCGAUCUUUUCUUUCAAUAAAAUGAAAUAGAAUACUAGAGAAAGAUAUAAUAAUGCCGAUUGUAACCCGAACAGCCCAACAAUACUUUCAUAUAUCAAUAUAUAUAGAUAACGUUCUCAUAUGAUAAGAAUUUCAUCUAAAAAUAUAUAGCUUCACAUACCUCUAAGGAUAAUUGAACACAUAGAGUACCCAGAAGAGUUCUUGUAAACCAUUCGACUAUAAUCGCUGUGCUCAAAUAUCUUUAUAAUUCAAAUAUGAUUCUACUGUCUAUCUCUGACAUCACUAAUUUCUCAUUAUCCCAACACUAACAGAGGCCAAUUCAAAAGAACUUCCAGUUAAUAUAUUCUUUAGAUAUCAUACCUGAAUAUUUGGUUUCAUCUAAUUCAACUUUUCUUUUAACAGUGACUUUGCAUAUUACAAAUGGCCUUCAACACGAUCCAAUAUCUUUUCUGUUGUCUUCACUUGUGGACUCAUUCUCUUAUCUGAUCACAGUACUAAUCCUUCAAUCACAAGACUCUGUCAUUCCACACUUGUAAGCUUAUUUAAGCCAUAUAAUACGGAUUUCAUUACAAUACUUCACGAUGAGGGGGUGAGGGUCAUAAAGCCUCAAAUUUAUCUCCCAUAUAUACAUGCACAUCAGACAUACUAUUAUGAAUGGCCAAUUCAUUACUAAUUCCACAUUCUCAAAACACCUAACCAUCUUUUACUUAUGAUCACUUUUGUACUCAACACAUAAUUCAUACGCUAAAUCAAAUCAUUAAUUCAUAAUCAAAAUAUUCACGUAAUAAUCACAUACCAAACAUCACAACUCAUAUUCAUAUAAUUAUAACAUUUAUCAAUAGCAGAAUAUCAUGCAUUCUGAUUUAUACCUUUAUGAGUUUCAACUCAUCACCAACACAUUUUCACUCAAGCGUUUGAGUAUAGCAUUCUGUACUAUCGGAAUUAGCUCGGUUGGAAAGCAUAUCUGUCUCAUCAAAAUAAUUUUCGUCAGAGUCGGGAGAUAUCACACUAUCACAGGUUAAAUGUGGC